GGGGCCCAACCCAACCACCCGCAGCCCAUCAAUCUUAUCCACCCCCCACGACCCGUCUCUCUCUCUCUUGUAUCCUCUGCCCCGCAUUGAUCCAGGCUUCGAUCUCGCCUCCACUGCUGGGCUUCUAUCUCGCCGGCCGCCGCCCGCGUCCCUGCCCCUCUCUUCUCCAUUACCCCUCGCACCACCGGCCGCCGCCGCUCGGGUCACCAGCCGCCUCCGCCUCUCGGGCCGCUGACCGCCGCGGCUGCUCGGGUCACCAGUCGCCUCCGCCUCUUGGGCCGCCGGCAGCCGCGGCCGCUUGGGCCAGUGGUCGCCGCUCGUGCCACCGUCGCUCAAGCCAUCGGCCGUCGCCCGCGCCACCAACCGCCACCUCCGCUCGAGCCAUCAACCGCCUCCGCCGCUCGAGCGCUCGGGCCACCAACCGCCGUCGCUGCUCGGGCCACCGGUCGCCGCUAGCGCCACCCGCUGUCGCAGAGAGCAUCGACGGAUGCGAAGGGCCGCUGCCGUUCGCUCCCAACUGGUUCAGCACGCCGAGCGGCUCCAUGGCCGGCGCGGCUGCCGACGGGGGUGCCCCGUGCCUCCUACGCUCGCGCCACCGACUGCCCGAGCCAACGCCCCGAGCCCUCUUUCUCUGUAAAUAAUUUGUAGAAGUAUUUUGUAAUUUGAUCUCUGUAAAUAAGUUGUAGAAGUAUUUUGUAAGUUGAUCUAUAAAGAAAUUGUUGAUGUUCAGAUCUGUAAGUUUUUUGCGUGAUAAUGUUGUAGUAGGAUUUUGCUCUAGUCCUUCGUGUCUUGUCGAUGCUCUUGUGUCCAGCGUAUAUUUUUUUAAAUUAAAAAAAACUUUGCCGUCUAUAGAGUAGUUGGACUGAUGGCAAAGAUCGCCUUUCAGCUGAAGGCAAAGAUGCUGCUUUGCCGUCUGUUAUUAUUUGUGUAGACGGCAAAAGACUGAGAUUGGCUUACGGCAAAGUCUUUGCCGUCAUCCCGAUGAAAAGCUGACGGCAAAGUAUUCUUUGCCGAUUUGUCUUUGCUGUCUGACUUUGCCGUCUGCGUCCUGACGGCAAACUCUUUGCCGUCUGUAUUUAGGUCUUUGCCGUCUGUAAUUCACAGAUGGCAAAUUACCUGAUUCCUGUAGUGAUAUGAGCAUCCAGGUUUCGCUGUUGGUUAUUGACCGGAGAUAUGUCUUGGUCAUGUCUACAUAGUUCUCGAACCCGUAGGGUCCGCACGCUUAACAUUCGAUGACGAUCGGUAUUAUGAGUUUAUGUGAUUUGAUGUACCGAAGGUUGUUCGGAGUCCCGGAUGAGAUCACGGACAUGACGAGGAGUCUCCAAAUGGUCGAGAGGUAAAUAUUGAUAUAUUGGAAGGCUAUAUUCGGACAUCGGAAAGGUUCCGAGUGAUUUGGGUAUUUUUCAGAGUACCGGAGAGUUACGGGAUUCGCCGGGGGAAGUAGUGGGCCUUAAUGGGCCAUACGGGAAAGGAGAAAAGGGCCCCAAGGGGUGGCCGCGCGCCCCCCAUGGGCUGGUCCGAAUUGGACUAGGAGGGGGCGGCGCCCCCCUCGUUCCUUCUCCCCUCUUCCUCCUUCCCUUCCUUCUCCUAGUUGGAAUAGGAAAGGGGGGACUGAAUCCUACUUGGAUAGGGAGUCCAAGUAGGACUCCCCCCUUGGCGCGCCCCUUCUAGGGCCGGCCUCCUCUUCCUCCCUCCUUUAUAUACGUGGGCAGGGGGUACCCCAAAGACACCCAAGAUUUGUCUUAGCCAUGUGCGAUGCCCCCCUCCACAGUUAAACACAUCGGUCAUAUCAUCGUAGUGCUUAGGCAAAGCCCUGCGCCGGUAACUUCAUCAUCACAGUCACCACGUCAUCGUGCUGACGAAACUCUCCCUUGGCCUCAACUGGAUCAAGAGUACGAGGGACGUCAUCGAGCUGAACGUGUGCUGAACGCGGAGGUGCCGUACGUUCGGUGCGUGGAUCGGUUGGAUCGCGAAGACGUUCGACUACAUCAACCGCGUUACUAAAUGCUUCCGCUUUCGUUCUACGAGGGCACGUGGACACACUCUCCCCACUCGUUGUUGUGCUUCUCCUGGAUAGAUCUUGCGUGAUCGUAGGAAUUUUUUUGAAAUUACUGCGUUCCCCAACACAUCUUUAUAUCUCAAAACAAUUAUCAGGUAUCAAACUUCUCAUAGUAUUUAAUGCACUCUAUAUGGAAGUUUUUAUUAUACCCAUCUUGGAUGCCUAUCGUAUUAGGACUAAUUUUAUAGCCAAAGCAAAUUACCAUGCUGUUCUAAAAGACUCUCAAAAUAAUAUAAGUGAAGCAUGAGAGAUCAAUAAUUUCUAUAAAAUAAAACCACCACCGCGCUCUAAAAAGAUAUAAGUAAAGCACUAGAGCAAAAUUAUCUAGUUCAAAAGAUAUAAGUGAAGCACAUAGAGUAUUCUAAUAAAGUCCGAUUCAUGUGUGUCUCUCCAAAAGGUGUGUACAGCAAGGAUGAUUGUGGUACUAAAAAGCAAAUACUCAAAUCAUACAAGACGCUCCAAGCAAAACACAUAUCAUGUGGUGAAUAAAAAUAUAGCCUCAAGUAAAGUUACCGAUAGACGAAGACGAUAGAGGGGAUGCCUUCCGGGGCAUCCCCAAGCUUAGGGUUUUGCUUGUCCUUGAAUUUUACCUUGGGUUGCCUUGGGCAUCCCCAAGCUUAGGCUCUUGCCACUCCUUAUUCCAAAAUCCAUCAAAUCUUUACCCAAAAACUUGAAAACUUCACAACACAAAACUUAAACAAAAAAUCUCAUGAGCUCCGUUAGUGUAAGAAAACAAACCACCACUUUAAGGUACUGUAAUGAACUCAUUAUUUAUUUAUAUUGGUGUUAAACCUACUGUGUUCCAACUUCUCUAUGGUUCAUACCCCCCGAUACUAGCCAGAUUCAUCAAAAUAAGCAAACAACACACGAAAAACAGAAUCUGUCAAAAACAGAACAGUCUGUAGCAAUCUGUAUCAAACGAAUACUUCUGGAACUCCAACAAUUAUGAAAUAAAUUGGUGGACGUGAGGAAUUUGUCUAUUAAUCAUCUGCAAAAAGAAUCAACCUAAAAUCACUCUCCAGUAAAAAAUGGCAGCUAAUCUCGUGAGCGCUAAAGUUUCUGUUUUUUACAGCAAGAUAGCAAAGACUUCACCCAAGUCUUCCCAAAGGUUCUACUUGGCACAAACACUAAUUAAAACAUAAAAACACAUCCAAACAGAGGCUAGAUGAAUUAUUUAUUACUAAACAGGAACAAAAAGCAAGGAACAAAAAUAAAAUUGGGUUGCCUCCCACCAAGCACUAUCGUUUAACGCCCUAAGCUAGGCAUUGAGAUUUCGAUGAUGCUCACAUGAAAGACAAGGAUUGAAGCGCAAAGAGAGCGUCAUGAAACACGUGACAAACACAUCUAAGUCUAACAUACUUCCUAUGCAUAGGCAUUUUAUAGGCAAACAAAUUAUCAUAGCAAGCAAAAACUAGCAUAUGCAAGGAAGAGGAAAGAGACAAUAGCAAUCUCAACAUAAUGGGAGGUAAUUUAGCAACAUGAAAGUUUCUACAACCAUAUUUCCCUCUCUCAUAAUAAUUACAUGUAGGAUCAUAAUAAAAUUCAACAAUAUAGCUCUCAUAUAAAAUUUUCUCUACAUGAUCCACAUGCAUGCAAAGUUGACACUCUUCCAAAAUAGUGGGAAUAUCAUUAACUAAAGUCAUGACCUCUCCAAACCCACUUUUAGUACUAUUGCAAACAUUAUUAUCAAUCUCAUAUUCAUCAUGGGGCUUAAAUAAAUUUUCAAGAUCAUAAGAAGAAUCACCCCAAUCAUGAUCAUUGCAACAAGUAGUAGACAUAGCAAAACUAGCAUCCGCAAGCUUAGCGUUUUGCAUAUUAUUAGCACAAUUGACAUCAAGACAAUUUAUAGUAAAAUAAUUGCAAUCAUGCUUUUUAUUCAAGGAGCCAUCGUGAAUCUCUUCAUAAAUUUCUUCAUCACAAUUUUCAGAUUCACGAAUUUCAAGCAAAACCUCAUAAAGAUAAUCUAGUGCACUCAAAUCACUAGAAAUUGGUUCAUCAUAAUUGGAUCUCUUAAAAACAUUAGCAAGGGGAUGAGGAUCCAUAAACUUUUAGCAAGCGAAGAUGCAAGCAAAAAGAAGGCACAUGGUAACACAAGAUCGAACGGAAGGAGGGCAAAGAAAUGGCAAAGGUUUUUGAAAAUCAUUUUAAAAGUGGGGGAGAGGAAAACGAGAGGCGAGUGGCAAAUAAUGUAAUGCGAGGGAGAAGAGUUUGUGAUGGGUACUUGGUAUCUCUUGACUUGAGCGUAGAUCUCCCCGGCAACGGCGCCAGAAAUGGCUAGUUGACGGGAGAUCAAAUCUUGACUUGACUUGGCGCAAAUCUCCCUGGCAACGGCGCCAGAAAUCCUUCUUGCUACCUCUUGAGCAUGCGUUGGUUUUCCCUUGAAGAGGAAAGGGUGAUGCAGCAAAGUAGCGUAAGUAUUUCCCUUAGUUUUUGAGAACCAAGUUAUCAAUCCAGUAGGAGACUACAUGCAAAUCACCUAGUACCUGCACAUACAAUCAAGAACCUGGCAACCAACGCGAUAAAGGGGUUGUCAAUCCCUUCACGGCCACUUGCAAAAGUGAGAUCUGAUAAAGAUAAUAAGAUAAAUAUUUUUGGAUUUUUGUUGUAUAGAUUGGAAAGUAAAGAUUGCAAAAUAAACGGAGACAGAAAUUAGAGAGUUGACGGAAAACUAAUAUGAUGUAAAAUAGACCCGGGGGCCACAGGUUUCACUAGUGGCUUCUCUCAUGAUAGCAUAUAUUACGGUGGGUGAACAAAUUACUGCCGAGCAAUUGAUAGAAAAGCGCAUAGUUAUGAGAAUAUCUAGGCAUGAUCAUUAAUAUAGGCAUCACGUCCAUGUCAAGUAGACCGAAACGAUUCUGCAUCUACUACUAUUACUCCACACAUCGACCGCUAUCCAGCAUGCAUCUAGAGUAUUAAGUUCAUAAGAACAGAGUAACGCAUUAGGCAAGAUGACAUGAUGUAGAGGGAUAAACUCAAGCAAUAUGAUAUAAACCCCAUCUUUUUAUCCUCGAUCGCAACAAUACAAUACGUGCCUUGCUGCCCCUAUUGUCACUGGGAAAGGACACCGCAAGAUUGAACCCAAAGCUAAGCACUUCUCCCAUAGCAAGAAAGAUCAAUCUAGUAGGCCAAACUAAACCGAUAAUUCGAAGAAACUUGCAAAGAUAUCAAAUCAUGCAUCUAAGAAUUCAGAGAAGAACCAAAUAUUGUUCAUAGAUAAUCUUGAUCAUAAACCCACAAUUCAUCAGAUCUCGGCAAACACACCGCAAAAAGUAUUACAUCGAAUAGAUCUCCAAGAACAUCGAGGAGAACUUUGUAUUGAGAACCAAAGAGAGAGAAGAAGCCAUCUAGCUAAUAACUAUGGACCCGAAGGUCUGUGGUAAACUACUCACACAUCAUCGGAGAGGCUAUGGUGUUGAUGUAGAAGCCCUCCGUGAUCGAUUCCCCCACCGGCGGAGCGCCGGAAAAGGCCCCAAGAUGGGAUCUCACGAGUAUAGAAGUUUGCGUCGGUGGAAAAGUGGUUUCGUGGCUCUCCCGGAUGUUUUCAAGGUAUAAGAGUAUAUAUAGGCGAAAGAAGUAGGUCGGUGGAGCUACGAGGGGCCCACGAGGGUGGGGGCGCGCCCUCCUGCCUCGUGGCUGCCUCGUUGCGUCUCUGACUUCCACUCCAAGUAUCCUGGAUUGCGUUUGUUCCAAGAAAGAUCCUCGCGAAGGUUUCGUUCCGUUUGGAUUCCGUUUGAUAUUCCUUUUCUGGGAAACACUGAAAUAGGCAAAAAACAGCAACUGGCACUGGGCCUCCGGUUAAUAGGUUAGUCCCAAAAAAUAAUAUAAAAUAACAUAUUAAAUCCCAUUAAACAAACAAAACAGAUAAUAUAAUAUAGCAUGGAAUGAUAAAAAAUUAUAGAUACGUUGGAGACGUAUCAAUGAUCGGGUUUGAUAGGCUCUACGUUCAAAUACAACGGAUGCAAGACAGUUUUGCACAUGCAGAAUACUCGGGUUAAACUUGACGAGCCUAGCAUGUACAGGCAUGGCCUCGGAACACGGGAGACUGAAAGGUCGAACGUGAAUCAUAUGGUAGAUAUGAUCAACAUAGAGAUGUUCACCAUUGAUGACUACUCCAUCUCACGUGAUGGUCGGACAUGGUUUAGUUGAUUUGGAUCACAUAUCAUUUAGAUGACUUGAGGGAUGUCAAUCUAAGUGGGAUUUCUUAAGUAAUAUGAUUAAUUGAACUUAAUUUAUCAUGAACUUAGUCCUGAUAGUUUUUGCAUAUAUAUGUUGUAGAUCAAUGGUCCGUGCUACCGUUCCCUUGAAUUUUAAUGCGUUCCUAGAGAAAGCUAAGUUGAAAGAUGAUGGUAGCAACUACACGGACUGGGUCCGUAACUUGAGGAUUAUCCUCUUUGCUGCACAAAAGAAUUAUGUCCUUGAUGCACCGCUAGGUGAAAGGCCUGCUGUAGGAGCAGAUGAUGAUGUUAUGAAUGUCUGGCAAGCUCAAUCUGAUGACUACUCGAUAGUUCAGUGUGCCAUGCUUUAUGGCUUAGAAUUAGGACUUCAAAGAUGUUUUGAAUGUCAUGGACCAUAUGAGAUGUUCCAGGAGUUGAAUUUAAUAUUUCAAGCAAAUGCCCGAGUUGAGAGAUAUGAAGUCUCCAACAAGUUCUAUAGCUGCAAAAUGGAGGAGAAAAGUUCUGUCAGUGAACACAUACUCUGAAUGUCUGGAUAUCAUAAUCACUUGACUCAGCUGGGAGUUAAUCUUCCAGAUGAUAGUGUUAUUGAUAGAGUUCUCCAAUCACUGCCACCAAGCUACAAAGGCUUCGUGAUGAACUAUAAUAUGCAAGGGAUGGAUAAGACAAUUCCCGAGCUCUUCGCAAUGCUCAAAGCUUCGGAGGUAGAAAUCAAGAAGGAGCAUCAAGUGUUGAUGGUUAACAAGACCACUAGUUUCAAGAAAAAGGGCAAAGGAAAGAAGGGGAACUUCAAGAAGAAUGGCAAGCAAGUUGCCACUCCUAGGAAGAAGCCCAAGUCUGGACCUAAGCCUAGAACUGAGUGCUUCUACUGUAAAGGGACUGGUCACUGGAAGCGGAACUUCCCCAAGUAUUUGGCGGAUAAGAAGGAUGGCAAAGUGAACAAAGGUAUAUUUGAUAUACAUGUUAUUGAUGUGUACCUUUCUAAUGCUCGUAGUAGCGACUGGUAUUUGAUACUGGUUCAGUUGCUCAUAUUUGUAACUCGAAACAGGGGCUACAGAUUAGCCGAAGAUUAGCUAAGGACGAGGUGAUGAUGCGCGUCGGGAAUGGUUCCAAGGUCGAUGUGAUCGCCGUCGGCACUCUACCUCUACAUCUACCUUCAGGAUUAGUUUUAGACCUGAAUAAUUGUUAUUGGUGCCAGUGUUGAGCAUGAACAUUAUAUCUGGAUCUUGUUUAAUGCGAGACGGUUAUUCAUUUAAAUCAGAGAAUAAUGAUUGUUCUGUUUAUAUGAGUAAUAUCUUUUAUGGUCAUGCACCCUUGAAGAGUGGUCUAUUUUUGUUGAAUCUCGAUCAUGGUGAUACACAUAUUCAUAAUAUUGAUGCCAAAAGAUGCAAAGUUGAUAAUGAUAGUGCAAAAUAUUUGUGGCACUGCCGUUUAGGUCAUAUUGGUGUAAAACACAUGAAGAAACUCCAUGCGGAUGGACUUUUGGAAUCACUAGAUUAUGAAUCAUUUUAUGCAUGCGACCAUGCCUCAUGGGCAAGAUGACUAAAACUCCGUUCUUCAGAACAAUGGAGCGAGCCACAGACUUAUUAGAAAUAAUACAUAUCGAUGUAUGCGGUCCGAUUGAGGCUCGCGGCGGGUAUCAUUAUUUUCUAAUCUUCACAGAUGAUUUGAGCAGAUAUGGGUAUAUCUACUUAAUGAAAUACAAGUCUGAAACAUUUGAAAAGUUCAAAGAAUUUCAGAGUGAAGUGGAGAAUCAUCGUAACAAGAAAAUAAAGUUUCUAUGACCUGAUCGCGGAGGCAAAUAUUUGAGUUACGAGUUUGGCCUUCAUUUAAAACAAUGUGGAAUAGUUUCACAACUCACGCCACCUGGAACACCACAGCGUAACGGUGUGUCCGAACGUCGUAACCGUACUUUAUUAGAUAUGGUGCGAUCUAUGAUGUCUCUUACCAAUUUACCACUAUCAUUUUGGGGUUCUGCAUUAGAGACAGCUGCAUUCACGUUAAAUAGGGCACCUUCUAAAUCCGUUGAGACGACGCCGUAUGAACUGUGGUUUGGCAAGAAACCUAAGCUGUCGUUUCUUAAAGUUUGGGGUUGCGAUGCUUAUGUGAAAAAGCUUUAGCCUGAUAAGCUCGAACCCAAAUCGGAGAAGUGCGUCUUCAUAGGAUACUGAAAAGAAACUGUUGGGUACACCUUCUAUCACAGAUCCGAAGGCAAGAUCUUUGUUGCUAAGAAUGGAUCCUUUCUAGAGAAGGAGUUUCUCUUGAAAGAAGUGAGUGGGAGGAAAGUAGAACUUGAUGAGGUAACUAUACCUUCUCCCGAAUUGGAAAGUAGCUCAUCACAGAAAAUCGUUCCCGUGAUUCCUACACCAACUAGAGAGGAAGUUAAUGAUAAUGAUCAUGAAACUUCAGAUCAAGUUACUACCGAACCUCGUAGGUCAACCAGAGCACGUUCCACACCAGAGUGGUACGGUAAUCCUGUUCUGGAAGUCAUGUUACUAGACCAUGACAAACCUACGAACUAUGAAGAAGCGAUGAUGAGCCCUGAUUCUGAUAAAUGGCUUGAGGCCAUGAAAUCUGAGAUAGGAUCCAUGUAUGAGAACAAAGUGUGGACUUUGGUUGACUUGCCGAUGAUCGGCGAGCCAUAGAGAAUAAAUGGAUCUUCAAGAAGAAGACUGUCGCUAAUGGUAAUGUUACUGUCUACAAAGCUCGACUUGUCACAAAAGGUUUUCGACAAGUUCAAGGAGUUGACUAUGAUGAGACCUUCUCACCCGUAGUGAUGCUUAAGUCUGUCCGAAUCAUGUUAGCAAUUGCCGCAUUUUAUGAUUAUGAAAUCUGGCAAAUGGAUGUCAAAAGUGCAUUCCUUAAUGGAUUUCUUAAAGAAGAGUUGUAUAUGAUGCAACCAGAAGGUUUUGUCGAUCCUAAUGGUGCUAAAAAAGUGUGCAAGCUCCAGUGAUCCAUUUAUGGACUGGUGCAAGCAUCUCGGAGUUGGAAUAUACGCUUUGAUGAGGUGAUCAAAGAAUAUGGUUUUAUACAGACUUUCGGAGAAGCCUGUAUUUACAAGAAAGUGAGUGGGAGCUCUGUAGCAUUUCUAAUAUUAUAUGUGGAUGACAUAUUGUUGAUUGGAAAUGAUAUAGAAUUUCUGGAUAGCAAAAAGGGAUACUUGAAUAAAUUUUUUUCAAUAAAAGACCUCGGUGAAGCUGCUUAUAUAUUGGGCAUCAAGAUCUAUAGAGAUAGAUCAAGACGCUUAAUUGGACUUUCACAAAGCACAUACCUUGAUAAAGUUUUGAAGAAGUUCAAAAUGGAUCAGUCAAAGAAAGGGUUCUUGCCUAUGUUACAAGGUGUGAAGUUGAGCCAGACUCAAUGCCCGACCACUGCAAAAGAUAGAGAGAAAAUGAAAUUCAUUCCCUAUGGCUCAGCCAUAGGUUCUAUCAUGUAUGCUAUGCUAUGUACCAGACCUGAUUUGUGCCUUGCUAUAGCAGGGAGGUACCAAAGUUAUCCAGGAGUGGAUCACUGGACAGCGGUCAAGAACAUCCUAAAGUAAUUGAAAAGAACUAAGGAUAUGUUUCUCGUUUAUGGAGGUGACAAAGAGCUCGUCGUAAAUGGUUACGAUGAUGCUAGCUUUGACACUGAUCCGAAUGACUCUAAGUCACAAACCGGAUACGUAUUUAGCUAUCAGUUGAUGCAGUUCCAAGCAGAGCGUCGUGGCGGGAUCUACGGGUGAAGCGGAGUACAUAGCUGCUUCGGAAGCAGCGAAUGAAGGAGUCUGGAUGAAGGAUUCAUAUCCCAUCUAGGUGUAAUACCUGGUGCAUCGGGCCCAAUGAAAAUCUUUUGUGACAAUACUGGAGCAAUUGCCUUGGCGAAGGAGUCUAGAUUUCACAAAAGAACCAAACACAUCAAGAGACGCUUCAACUCCAUCCGUGAUCAAGUCAAGGAGGGAGACAUAGAGAUUUGCAAAAUACAUACGGAUCUGAAUGUAGCAGACCCGUUGACUAAGCCUAUUCCACGAGCAAAACAUGAUCAACACCAAGACUCCAUGGGUGUUAGAAUCAUUACAAUGUAAUCUAGAUUAUUGACUCUAGUGCAAGUGGGAGACUGAAGGACAUAUCCCCUAGAGGCAAUAAUAAAGUUGUUAUUUUAUAUUUACUUAUAUCAUGAUAAAUGUUUAUUAUUCAUGCUAGAAUCGUAUUAACCGGAAACUUGAUACAUGUGUGAAUACAUAGACAAAACACCGUGUCCCUAGUAAGCCUCUACUAGACUAGCUCGUUAAUCAAAGAUGGUUAAGUUUCCCAACCAUAGACAUGUGUUUCAUUUGAUGAACGAGAUCACAUCAUUAGGAUAAUGAUGUGAUGGACAUGACCCAUCCGUUAGCUUAGCAUAUUGAUCAUUCGGUUUUAUUGCUAUAGCUUUCUUCAUAUCAUAUACAUAUUCCUUUGACUAUGAGAUUAUGCAACUUCUGGAUACUGGAGGAAUACCUUGUGUGCUAUCAAACGUCACAACGUAACUGGGUGAUUACAAAGAUGCUCUACAGGUAUCUCCGAAGGUGUUUGUUGGGUUGGCAUAGAUCAAGAUUAGGAUUUGUCACUCUGAGUAUCGGAGAGGUAUCUCUGGGCCCUCUCGGUAAUGCACAUCAUAAGAAGCCUUGCAAGCAAUGUGACUAAUGAGUUAGUUGUGGGAUGAUGUAUUACGGAACGAGUAAAGAGACUUGUCGUAACGAGAUUGAACUAGGUAUGAAGAUACCGAUGAUCGAAUCUCGGGCAAGUAACAUACCGAUGACAAAGCGAAUAAUGUAUGUUGUCAUUACGGUUUGACCAAUAAAGAUCUUCGUAGAAUAUGUAGGAACCAAUAUGAGCAUCCAGGUUACAUGAUCGCUCUCUGACUAUUGUGCCAGAAAAGCUCCUGUCUGCUAGGACAACGUCGCUAUUUCCCCAAAGAGGAAGGGAUGAUGCAGCACAGCGACGGUAGGUAUUUCCCUCAGUGAAGAAACCAAGGUUAUCGAACCAGUAGGAGAACCAAGCAACACAACGUAAACAUCACCUACACACAAAUAACAACACCUCACAACCCAACGUGUUAAAGGGGUUGUCAAUCCCUUUCGGGUAACGAUGCCAGAAAAUUGUACUAGAUUGAAAUAAUAGAUUGCAAAUAAAAUAAAGUGCAGCAAAGUAUUUUUGUAUUUUUGGUUUAAUAAAUCUGAAUAAAAAUGCAAAGGAAAAGUAGAUCGCAAGCAAAUAUAUGAGGAAGAAGACCCGGGGGCCGUAGGUUUCACUAGUGGCUUCUCUCGAGAAAAAUAGCAAAUGGUGGGUAAACAAAUUACUGUUGGGAAAUUGAUAGAACUUCAAAUAAUUAUGACGAUAUCCAGGCAAUGAUCAUUACAUAGGCAUCACGUCCAAGAUUAGUAGACCGACUCCUGCCUGCAUCUACUACUGUUACUGCACACAUCGACCACUAUCCAGCAUGCAUCUAGUGUAUUAAGUUCAUGGAAAAACAGAGUAAUGCAAUAAGAACGAUGACAUGAUGUAGACAAGAUCCGUUUAUCUAUUGCGUAGAUAUAGAUCUCGUCUUUUUAUCCUUAGUAGCAACGAUACAUACGUGUCGGUUCCCUUUCUAUCACUGGGAUCAAGCACCGUAAGAUCGAAUCCACUACCGGGCACCUCUUCCCAUUGCAAGAUAAAUAGAUCAAGUUGGCCAAACAAAACCCAAAUAUCAGAGAAGAAAUACGAGGCUAUAAGAGAUCAUGCAUAUAAGAGAUCAAAGAAACUCAAAUAACUUUCAUGCAUAUAAAAAGAUAUAGGGCCAUUUGCAUUUCUGUCCCUAACUCGAACCGCCUACUCAGAUUUGCCCCUAAUUUCGAAGCUUGCUCAAAUUUGCCCCUCUACCGUUAGGUGAUCUUAUAAAAAUGCCCUUUUGUGUCGUUUCUGUUAGGUCAAAGGCCUUUGACCGUCUACCGGACGUUUCCUGGACAUUUUACCCCUGCCUCCAUGUGCCACUUACAUGUGGGACCCACUUAGAGAAAAAAUAAAAAGAAAAAAUGCUUUCUCUCACCCCUCUAUCUCUCACUUACAUGUGGGGCCCAAGAAAAAGAAACAAAAAAUGUCCUAGAAAAUAUGCAUAGGCCCACUUGUCAUACUUUAAUUAUUUGUUGAACAAUAUUUAUUGGAUUAUUAGACAAGAGGACCCGCUGGUUAGUGUCUAGGUUAGUCAGAACUAAUAGGAUCUGGCCCUAAUCUAAUUACACUAUACUCCAGCGAGUGUGCGAGCUCGUCGGUGUCCUACUGGAUGGUGUGGGAACACGCCGGAGGGGGUAUGGGAGGUGCGAGCACGCCGGCGUGGUCAGGAAGCACAACAGCAAGAUGUGGGAUGAUCAACGACCGGGGCAACGACAACAGCUUGCCGUGGCGAGCGGCGGCGCUAGGGAGAGAGCGGCUGUUUGUGGGGCGACUUCUUGGGGAUGUAAUCCUCGGCGGCGACGGAUCUAGCAGGUGUAGAAGCAUCACAGAUUUACUAGGAAGCCAACAGAGAGCGUCGGGGCGGCCUAGACAAGGAGAUCAAGGCGCGGCAGCACGACAUCAGAGGCAGAGAAGACGAAGACCAAUUCAACGAUUUACGUCACCUCUGUUGAUUUCAUCCAUAGGGAAGACUCUAUAGGAAUAUAAGAAGCUAAUGGACAUGCUUUUGAGGCUUGGGAUCGACUCUUGCCACGAAAACAACGAACUGCGUCAACGGCGGCGAGAUCUGGACAUUGUUUGUUCUCUAACAGAACAAGAGGGCUAGCAGGUGCGCUGCCCCUUGCCUGCGCACUUGAUUCAUCGUGGUAUGGCAGCCGCGACUACUGCUGCGUCCGCCCCUUGUUGCUCACCGCGGGUGCGCCGCCCCUCGCCGGUGAUGGCCAUCAUCGGCCAAGCCACGCAAGCCUCCUGUGGCCCACAUCUAAGGGGGAGAGAGAGGUCGUGAGAGAAAGUUUAUAUAUAUAUAUAUAUAUUUAUUUAUUUAUUUAUUAGUUCAGCCUCACAUGUAAGUGCGUGUGAGAGAGGGGGUGAGAGAAAGAGUUUUCUCAUUUAUUUUUUUAGAGUGGGUCCCAGCUGUAAGUGACACAUGGAGUCAAGGGCAAAAUGUCCAGCAAACAUCCAAAUAGCGGUCAAAGCCCUUUGACUUGACGGAAACGGAAUGGAUGGGCAUUUCUAUAAGGACAUCUAACGGCAGAGGGGCAAAUUUGAGCAUGCUUCAAAAUUAGGGGCAAAUCUGAGUAGUGGGUUCGAGUUAGGGACACAAAUGUAAAAGACCCAAAGAUAUAACUGAUCAUAAACUCGAAGUUCAUCAGAACCCAACAAACACACCGCAAAAGAGUUACAUCAUAUGGAUCUCCAAGAGACCAUUGUAUUGAGAAUUCAGUGAGAGAGGAAGCCAUCUAGCUACUAACUACGGACCUGAAGGUCUACAAAGAACUACUCAUGCAUCAUCAAAGAGGCGCCAAUGGAGGUGGUGAACCCCAUCCGAGAUGGUGUCUAGAUUGGAUCUGGUGGUUCUGGACUCUGCGGCGGCUGGAUGAAUAUUUCAUCGACUCCCCUAGGGUUCUGGGACUUUUGGGGUAUUUAUAGAGCAAAGAGGCGGUCCGGGGGGCACCUGAGGUGGGCACAACCCACCAGGGUGCGCCUGGGCCUCCUGACGCGCCCUGGUGGGUUGUCCCCUCCUCGGGACUCCCCCCAGGUGCAACCAGGGCCCAACUUCCUCCUUUUGGUCCAUAAAAAAUCAUCGUGAAGUUUCGUUGCAUUUGGACUUCGUCUGAUAGUGAUUUCCUGCGAUGUUUGGAAAAAACAACAACUGGCACUUGGCACUAUGUCAAUAGGUUAGUACCAAAAAUGAUAUAAAAUGAUUAUAAAACAUCCAAGAUUGAUAAUAAAACAGCAUGGAACAAUCAAAAAUUAUAGAUACGUUGGAGACGUAUCAGCAUCCCCAAGCUUAACUCCUACUCGUCCUCGAGUAGGUAAGUGAUAAAAACAGAAUUUUUGAUGUGGAGUGUUGUUCAUCAAGUCAUAUCAUAUUCUUUUUCUUUAUAGCAUGGACAUUUGGACUUUUUAUGUGAUUCAAAGCUAUAGUCUGGUUUGACAUAAUAAUUUAUAUACUCAAGCAUAUCAACAAGCAACCAUGUCUUGCAAAAUAUCAACGCUAAAAUAAGUUAUCCCUAGCCCAUCAUGCUCAAACAUUGAUCCAUUCAUGAAACACACUCGAAUAUUAACUACACCCAAUACUUAAGCAUGAGCAUAUUGCCUCUUAGUUGGUGCUUUUGUAAGAGAAGAUGGAGACUCAAAUUCAAAAUAAAAAUUGCAUAAAGUAAAAGAAAGGCCCUUUGCAGAGGGAAGUAGGGAUUUGUAGAGGUGCCAGAGCUCAAAGCGAAAAAAAAAUAGAGAUAAAAACAUUUUGGGAGGUGUAUCCAUCCCACCAACAAAAACGACGUAGAGCUACGAACACUUUCCAUGCUAGAUAUGCCAUAGGCGGUUCCCAAACAGAAAAUACAGUUUGUUCCUUUUUCCACCAUACUUUCACUUUCCAUGGCUAACCGUAUCCACGGGUGCCCUCCAUACCAACACUUUCCAAGGAAUUUAUUAUUUGACAACAUAAAGUAAAUUCAUUUUUGCAUUUCGGGGCUGGGCAUCCCUAAAACCUUUGCCUUACUCUCGUGCAAUGACAAGUGAAUAAACACUCAUCGUUAGAAUAACACAUCUAGCAUGGAAAAUAUUAGCCACCCGUUACCGUUUCGCGAGCGAAACAAACACACAAAAGAGAAGUUUAUUUUGAAAAUUAGAGAUGGCACAUGCAAAUUUGCAUAGAACGACAAAAGAAUACCACAUAUAGGUAGAUAUAGUGGACUCAUGUGGCAAAACUGGUUUAAAGGAUUUUGGAUGCACAAGUAGAGGUCAUACUUAGUGCAAAAUGAAGGCUAGCAAAAAGAUUGAGAAGCGACCAACCAAGAAACGAGUAAUCUCAUAAGCAAGCAUUAAGCAUAAUUAACACCGAAUAAUGCACCACAAUAGGAUAUAAUUUUCAUUGCAUGAUUAUUGACUUUCGUGCAUGCAUAGGGAAUCACAAACCUUAACACCAAUAUUCUUACUAGAGCACAAUUACUCAUCAACAUAACUCACAUAUCACAUCAUCAUAUCUCAAAACUAUUACUAAGAAUCAAGUUUAUUUUGUCCAAUGAUCUUCAUGACAUUUUAUACUUUAUCCUUCUUGGAUAUCUAUCACUUUGGGACUAAUUUUCAUGUGUUGCUUUUCAUAAGCUCAAACAAAUAUAAGUGAAGAUCAUGAGCAUAACAAAUUUUCUUUCUCUCAAAAUAAUUUAAGUGAAGCAAGAGAGAAUUUCUUCAAAAUUUUACUAACUCUCAAAUAAAUAUAAUUGAAGCAGGAGAGCAUUUCUUCAAAAAUAACAAAGCACAUCGUGCUCAAAAAGAUAUAAGUGAAGCACUAGAGCAAGUCCUAGCUCAUAAAAGAUUUAAGUGAAGCACAUAGAGCAAUUCUAACAAGUCAUGAAACAAUUUUGGCUCUCUCAAAUAGGUGUGUCCAGCAAGGAUUGAUGACUUAAAACACAAAAUAAAACAAGCAAAUACACAUAUCAUACAAGACGCUCCAAGCAAAGCACACAUCAUGUGAAGAAUAAAAAUAUAGCCUCGAGUAAAAUACCGAUGGUCGUUACAAGAAAGAGGGGAUGCCACUCGGGGGGCAUCCCCAAGCUUAGUUGGUUGCUCAUUCUUGGAUAAUAGCUUGGGAUGCCGGGGCAUCCCCAAGCUUAGUCUCUUUAUCCUUCUUUCAUCCAUCGUAAGAUAACCAAAAACUUGAAAACUUCAAUCACACAAAACUCAACAAAACCUUUGUGAGAUCCGUUAGUAUAAGAAAGCAAACCACUACUAUAAGUGUUGUAUCAAACCAAUUCAUAUUUUGUUUUUGUAUUAUAUCUACUGUAUUCAAACUUUUCAAUGGCAAAAACUCAUCAAAGAAAACCAUAGAGCCAUCAAAAUAAACACACAACACAAAGAAAACAGAAUCUGUCAAAACAGAACAGUCUGUACUAAUCUGACUUCUGCAAAUACUUCCGUAACUCCAAAAAUUCUACCAAAAUAGGAAGACCUGGGUAAUUUGUAUAUUGAUCUUCUGCAAAAAAUUGGAAUUUUAUCACGUUCUGGUGAUUUUUAACAAUUAUUUUCGUGAGCACAAAGUUUCUGUCUUUUUCAGCAAGAUUAAACAACUAUCACCCAAGAAGAUCCUAUAGGCUUUACUUGGCGCAAACACUAAUUAAAAAAUAAAAAGCACAAUCAUACUAGUAGCAUAAUUGUGUAAACACUCAAGAACAGCAAGAAAAAAGCAAAAAUAAAUUUUAUUCAUUGCGUUGCCUCCCAACAAGCGCUAUAGUUUUACGCCAUUAGCUAGGCAUAAAGCAAGGAUCUAAGUUUUGUCAUCCUUCUUCUUCUUAAUUUUCUUGGGGGUAUUUUUAUCAGGAGGUUUUGUAAACACAACAUAAAACAUAUUAUCCGUAGAAACUUUAGCAUCCCUUAGUUGGUUUUCAUCAUAACCCCUUUUAUUUCCCGCAACAAUCCAAGAAUAGUGUUGGUUAACUUUAUUAAAAACUUGUUGGAUUAUUUCUAGAACGGGAACCUCCUUUUUAAGAUUCUCAUCAAAGAUCUUAUUAUCCCCAAGCAAAUGCCUUAGUGCAUAAUCUCUAUUGUAAAGAAUUUCAUCUAUCACAGUUUUUUCACGAUUCAUACCAUAAAAGUCAAAGAUUUCCCUAGCUUCCCGAAUUAUGUAGUCAAACUCGUUCAUAAGAACGAGAGUGGCCAACUUCUUGGCUCUAGGAUUCUUUAUUUCGGAAAGCUUAAAAACCAAUCUUUGCAAAGUAGGAUGAGUGCGGAUAAAUUUACUUUCAAGUUUCGGAACUAGUGCUAAAAUAGCAUCCGCAUAAAAUCUAGUAGUUUUAAGUAUAGGAGCAUCAUCAAGACUCAGAUUUCCAACACAAUUGAAAAAUUCUUGGAUACGUUCUUUCCCCAUAAUGUUUCCUUGCCCCAAGAUAAAAGUUUUAGCGUCCAAAUUGCCUGUAUGUCCAAUCUUAGGAGUCAGGCCAUCAUUUGUUGGUGCCAUACCGAAAUCAUUCAUGAUUGCAAGCAAAGAAUAAAUCUGACGAGAAAAUGGCAAACGGAAAAAGAGAGACGAAUAAAACGGAAAAAAUUUGUGAAGUGGGGGAGAGGAAAACGAGAGGCAAAUGGCAAAUAAUUUAAAUUGCGAGGAGAUGAGAUUUGUGAUUAGGAAGCUGGUUAUGUUGAAGAUCCUCCUCGGCAACGGCGCCAGAAAUUCCUUUUGAUCGCUCUCUGACUAUAGCGCCAGAAAAGCUCCUGUCUGCUAGGACUAUGUCGGUAUUUCCCCAAAGAGGAAGGGAUGAUGCAGCACAACGACGGUAGGUAUUUCCCUCAGUGAAGAAACCAAGGUUAUCGAACCAGUAGGAGAACCAAGCAACACGACGUAAAUAGCACCUGCACACAAAUAACAACACCUCGCAAUCCGACGUGUUAAAGGUGUUGGCAAUCCCUUUCGGGUAACGAUGCCAGAAAAUUGUAGUAGAUUGAAAUAAUAGAUCGCAAAUAAAAUAAAGUGCAGCAAAGUACUUUUGUAUUUUUGGUUUAAUAGAUCUGAAUAAAAAUGCAAAGGAAAAGUAGAUCGCAAGCAAAUAUAUGAGGAAGAAGACCCGGGGGCCGUAGGUUUCACUAGUGGCUUCUCUCGAGAAAAAUAGCAAACGGUGGGUAAACAAAUUACUGGUGGGCAAUUGAUAGAACUUCAAAUAAUUAUGACGAUAUCCAGGCAAUGAUCAUUACAUAGGCAUCACGUCCAAGAUUAGUAGACUGACUCCUGCCUACAUCUACUACUAUUACUCCACACAUCGACCGCUAUCCAGCAUGCAUCUAGUGUAUUAAGUUCAUGGAAAAACGGAGUAAUGCAAUAAGAAUGAUGUCAUGAUGUAGACAAGAUCCGUUUAUCUAUUGCGUAGAUAUAGAUCUCGUCUUUUUAUCCUUAGUAGCAACGAUACAUACGUGUCGGUUCCCUUUCUGUCACUGGGAUCAAGCACCAUAAGAUCGAACCCACUACCGGGCACCUCUUCCCAUUGCAAGAUAAAUAGAUCAAGUUGGCCAAACAAAACCCAAAUAUCGGAGAAGAAAUACAAGGCUAUAAGAGAUCAUGCAUAUAAGAGAUCAAAGAAACUCAAAUAACUUUCAUGGAUAUAAAAAGAUAUAACUGGUCAUAAACUCGAAGUUCAUCAGAUCCCAACAAACACACCGCAAAAGAGUUACAUCAUAUGGAUCUCCAAGAGACCAUUGUAUUGAGAAUUCAGCGAGAGAGAGGAAGCCAUCUAGCUACUAACUACGGACCUGAAGGUGUACAAAGAACUACUCACGCAUCAUCGGAGAGGCACCAAUGGAGGUGGUGAACCCCAUCCGAGAUGGUGUCUAGAUUGGAUCUGGUGGUUCUGGACUCUGCGGCGGCUGGAUGAAUAUUUCGUUGACUCCCCUAGGGUUCUGGGAUUUUUGGGCUAUUUAUGAGCAAAGAGGCGGUCCGGGGGGACCCGAGGUGGGCACAACCCACCAGGGUGCGUCUGGGCCUCCUGGCGUGCCCUGGUGGGUUGUCCCCUCCUCGGGACUCCCCCAGGUGCAACCAGGGCCCAACUUCUUCCUUUUGGUCCAUAAAAAAUCAUCGUGGAGUUUCGUUGCAUUUGGACUCCAUCUGAUAUUGAUUUCCUGCGAUGUAAAAAACAUGGAAAAAACAGCAACUGGCACUUGGCACUAUGUCAAUAGGUUAGUACCAAAAAUGAUAUAAAAUGACUAUAAAAUAAUUAUAAAACAUCCAAGAUUGAUAAUAAAACAGCAUGGAACAAUCAAAAAUUAUAGAUACGUUGGAGACGUAUCAUUACGCUAUGGUUAUUGACCGGAGAGGUGUCUCGGUCAUGUCUACAUAGUUCUCGAACCCGUAGGGUCCGCACGCUUAACGUCCGAUGACGAUUUUGUAUUGUAUGAGUUAUGUGAUUUGGUGACCGAAUGUUGUUCGGAGUCCCGGAUGAGAUCACGGACAUGACGAGGAGUCUCGAAAUAGUCGAGAGGUAAAGAUUGAUAUAUAAGACGAUAAUAUUCGGACACCGGAAGUGUUCCGGGGGUACCGGGUACAUAUCGGGUCACCGGAAGGGGUUUCGGGCACACCCCCCCCCCCGGCAACUAUAUGGGCCUAAUGGGCCAAGAGAGGGACAGACCAGCCCCUAAGGGACUGGUGCGCCCCAUAUAGGCCGAAAUAGGAGUAGAAGGAAAGAGGGUAAGGGAGAAGGAAAGGGGAGGAUUCGACCUCCCCCUUCCUUCCCUCCCCCCUCUCUUUCCUUUCCCCUCCGAUGAAUAAGGAAGGGGGGCGAAUUGGGGAGGAACCCCAAGUAGUAUUUGGCCUACUUGGGGCGCCCCCCUUGGCUGCUCCCUCUCGGCGUGGUGAAGGGGGGAGGCGCCUAGAACACACAACAACAUAUGUUAGCCGUGUGGGGCGCCUCCCUCCACAGAUUACACCCUCGGUCAUAUCUUCAUAGUGCUUAGGCGAAGCCUUGCGCGGAUCACUUCACCAUCAUCGUCACCACGCCGUCGUGCUGACGGAACUCUCCCUCGACACUUUGCUAGAUCAAGAGUUCUAGGGAUGUCAUCGAGCUCAACGUGUGCAGAACUCGGAGGUGUCGUACGUUCGGUGCUUGAUCGGUCGGAAUGAGAAGAAGUUCGACUACAUCAACCGCGUUGUCAAACGCUUCCGCUUUCGGUCUACGAGGGUACGUAGACACACUCUCCCCCUCUCGUUGCUAUGCAUCUCCUAGAUAGAUCUUGCGUGAGCGUAGGAAAUUUUUUGAAAUUGCAUGCUAUGUUUCCCAACAGUUUUUAUAUUUUCAGAUUACAAAAACCUAUAUCUACCAUCCAUAUUACACUUGUAUCACCAUCUCUUCGGCGAACUAGUGCACCUAUACAGUAUACCAUUGUAUUGGGUGUGUUGGGGACACAAGAGACUCUUUGUUAUUUGAUUGUAGGCUUGUUUGAGAGAGACCAUCUUCAUCCUACGCCUCUCACGGAUUCAUAAAUCUUAGGUCAUCCACUUGAGGGAAACUUGCUACUGUCCUACAAAACUCUACACUUGGAGACCCAACAACGUCUACAAGAACAAAGGUUACAUAGUAGACAUCAAGCUCUUCUCUGGCGUUGUUGCCGGGGAGGUUAGUGCUUGAAGGUAUAUCAUUAGAUCUUGCAGUCGAAUCUUUUAGUUUCUAUUUAUCACUAGUUUAGUCUAUAAAAGAAAACUACAAAAAUGGAAUUGAGGUUGCCUCAUAUGCUUCAGCUUUAUAAUGUCUUUCAUGAAAAUGAUAGAAAGGAAAACGGUGCUCAAGUGUUAGAAGAAGAGGUCUAUAAAAUGUUUGGAGCUAAAUAUUGGAAUGAUGAGCAUGAUUGCAAUGUUGUUAGUAUGAAUUCUUUGAGUAUCCAUGAUGCGAAUGAUAUGCAAAGCCACAAGCUUGGGGAUGCUAUGUUUGAUGAAGAUGAUAUUUUUGGUCCCCCAAGUUUUGAUGAGCAAAUUUAUUAUGAUGAUAGCAUGCCUCCUAUUUAUGAUGAUUAUAUUGAUGAAAGUGGGUUUGGAAGAGUGUCAACUCUAGGUAAUAAUGAUCCCACUAUUUUGGAGGGUGCUGAAUCUUAUAAUAUUUAUGAAAGUGGAUUUGGAGAGGUCAUGACUUUAUUUAAUGAUGAUUCCACUAUUUCGGAAGAGGUUCCAAUUGAUUAUGAGAACAAUGUUGCUAUCUAUGAUGAUUAUUGUGCUGACAUGUAUGCUAUAAAGAAUAAUGAUAACCAUGAAACUUGUCAUCAUGAUUUCAAUUUUCAAUUGGAUUAUGCCUCACAUGAUGUUAUUUUGUUGAGUUUGCUCCCACAACUAUUCAUGAGAAUAAAUUUUCUUAUGUGGAGAGUAAUAAAAAUUCUAUGCUUAUGUAUCAUGAAAAGAAUGCUUUAUGUGAUAGUUAUAUUGUUGAAUUCAUUCUUGAUGCUACUGAAAAUUAUAAUGAGAGAGGAACAUGUGCUCUUACAUAUUGCAAUAAUAUCAAGUUUCCUCUCUACGUGUUGAAAAUCUUGAAGUUUUGCUUGCUUUACCUUCCUAUGCAUAGGAAGUGGGUUAGACUUAAAUGUGCUAGUCAUAUUCUUCAUGAUGCCCCCUGUUAUGUUUCAAUUCUUAUCUUCUGUGUGAGCACAAUUGAAAUCAUCAUGCCUACCAAAAAAGGCAUUAAAGAAAAGCGCUCGUUAGGAGACAACCCAACAUUUACCCCUACUGUUUUUGUGUGUUCACAUGAUUAGGCUACUGUAUUAAUCAUGUUUUAUAGCUUUUGUUUCAAUAAGUGCCAAGUAAGACCUUUGGGAUGGCUUACGGUGGUAGUUGAUUUGAUCUUGCUGAAAAACAGAAACUUUUGCGCCCAGUUAAAUAAUUCUUAUUUUUAACAGAAGUGCGAUAAAAUACUGAUUCUUUUAGCACAAGAUUGAUAUAAAAAUUUCCGCUGUUUUCCUAAUUUUCCAGAAUUUUUGGAGUUGCGAAAGUAUGAUUUCAGUUCAGAUCUUUAUAGUCUGUUCUGUUUUUGACAGAUUCUGUUUUCGAUGCAUAGUUUACUUGUUUUCUAGUUUCUUUGGCUUAUAUUGCUUAAUAUAAAUUGUAGAAAUGAUAGGGUACAGUAGGAAUCAUGUGAGAAAAAUUAUGAAUCUUGUCUUGAUAGUACCAAAGUGAAUGAUUUGUUUUAUUAUACUAAAGUAUCUUACAAGUUUUCUGUUGAGUUUUGUGUUGUGAAGUUUUCAAGUUUUGGGUAAAGAUUUGAUGGACUAUGGAAUAAGGAGUGGCAAGAGCCUAAGCUUAGGGAUUCCCAAGGCACCCCAAGGUAAUAUUCAAGGAUACCCAAGCAACUAAGCUUGGGGAUGCCCCGGAAGGCAUCCCCUCUUUCGUCUUCAUCCAUCAGUAAAUUUACUUGAGGCUAUAUUUUGGGAUAAUUAAUUUGGUGCCCUUAGUUGUGUCCCCCUCGGCAGGUUUGCCCCUAGUUUCCAAAAACCCUCAUUCUUGCCCAACUCACUUUGGUUUCUUUGUGCUUUUGCCCUCCCGUCACGGUUCCGUCCAGUCAGCGCCGUUUGACCGCUACCGCCGCUAGAUUUUGGACGCGGCUUGCCCCCCGUGCUCACUCGCUUGUUCCCCCCUCACUCUUUUGUUCCCCAUUCCUCCCGUCACUCUCUCACCCUGUCCAAACCCUAGUUCGUCGGCGCCACCACCAGAUCCAGAAACCCUAAGGGCACCACCACCAGAACGCCGUCUGCAGCACCAGCACAUCCAUUUCCAGGCGAUGGGGGAGAAUGGAGAAACCCUAGGCGGCGGCUGCCGCCACAAGAAGGGAAUCGCAUCAGCGCGGGAGGGUGAUGGCUGCGCGCACGGCCACGGCGGCGGUGGCCUCGUCGACGGCGAAAAAAGCUUGCCAUCGGUUACGGGGAGCGUUGAAGGAGGUUGUGGUAGCAGUCAGGGCGACAAGGGCAAGGGCACCGCAUUUGCACGGGAGAUCCCGACGGGGUAAGUCUCAGAUCUGCUUUUCCAUAGUAUCAUAGGCUUGAUUCAGAGAAGAUUUAGUCAUGGUAGAUGUUGUGUUCAUUAUUGUAGGAUGGAUCCAGCUGAUGCAUUCUUUCUGUCUGUUAGAAUGGAGACCACAGUCAUAGUUUCUGCUGGUACCAGAGGAAAAGAAAGCAGCUUCACAUUUCCAUUAGUUGUGGACAGCAGUAGUAGUUCAUUUAAUGAUUUUAGGGCUAGUAUUUGUGCAAAGUAUCCAUGGGGAUUGUUUGAUGCUGUUGAAAUAAGAUAUUGGGACAGUUCACAGGAGAGUUGGAACCCUCUACAGUGUGAUGAUGAGUUAGGUUUGAUGUUUGCAAGAAAUGCAGAGACAAGGUCAUGCAAUUUGGAAAUUACAGUAAUUCAGAGAAAGAGAGGAGAAAGGUGUGAGAAAACACCUGCAUCUAGGACAACUGCUGGAGGGACCAGAGGUAGAAGAAGGGGUAGACCAUGUGCAUCUAGGACAGGAGCUAGCAGUACUCCUGGUGCUCCUGGCACUAGUGCAGCAAGUGCUAGUACCACCCCAACUGCUCCAAGUGGCACUGAGAAAGAAGAUGAUCAACCUGAUCCAGUUGUGGAGGAAGCACUGCCUGAUGCACCUAUUUUGUCUGAUGAGGAGGAUGAGAAGCUUUAUCCAGGUUAUGUACAACAAAAUAGUCAGGAACAUGCAGCAAAUGAAGACUACAUACCUGCAGAAUUUUCAGAUACUGAUGAAGAUGAAAGGCAAGAGGAUCAUGACAUAGGAGCUUUUGAGGAUGCAGAUGAGGACAGACCUGUCAUGAUGUAUGAUAGAGAUAACCCAAGCAUUGAGGAAGGUGUGGUCUUUCCUGGGGCAGUUGAUUGCAGAAAUGCAGUUGGAACAUUCUCAAUCAAGUCUGAAACUGAGUACAUCACACUGAAGAGUGGCCAGAAUAGGUUCACUGUUAAAUGUGCCUAUGACAGGUGUAAGUGGAGGCUGCAUGCAUCUUUGAUGAGGAGGAGCACUUUGUUUCAAGUACUAGCUAUUUAGUUUACUACUAUUUGUUUUAAAAUUGUGACUUUUUGUUUUACUAAUGUUGUACUGGCAGACCAUUUGUUUCCUUGUUUUAUUUUCAGAUCAAAGUGAACCUCCACCCUCACACAUGUCCUAGUGUGAACAGAUCUCAGAGAUUGAGAGCUGCAAAAAGAAGGUGGAUUGCAGAUGCUUCUAUGGCUUGGAUCAGAAAAAAUCCAGGGAUUGGCACAAAGGAAAUCCAGGGUAGGUUGUUAGAGAAGUAUGGUCUUGAGGUGCCUUACAGCAGAUGCUACUAUGGUAAGGAAAUGGCACUUGACAAGUUAUAUGGUAAGUACAAUGACAGUUUUCAGUUACUUUUUGCUUUCAAAGCAGAAGUAGAGAGGGCAUCACCAGGCAGUGUUGUUGACAUUGACCAUCACACAGUGGAGUACAAGUUAAAAGGAAAGAAAUUCUACAAAGAGUGUUUUAGAAGGGUUUUUGUCUGUUUCAAAGCUUGUCAGAAGGGGUUUCUAGAGGGGUGCAGGCCAUACUUGGCUGUAGAUGCAACUGCAUUGCAUGGUAGGUUUAGGGGCCAACUUGUAGCAGCAUGUGCCCUAGAUGCACACAAUUGGUUAUUUCCUAUUGCAUAUGGUGUUCUUGAAGUGGAGUCCACUGAGAGUUGGACAUGGUUUUUCAAUAAUUUGAAGAAAGUUAUAGGACACCCUGAAGGAUUAGUUAUCCAUACUGAUGCUUGCAAAGGACGGGAGAGUGUUGUUGAUGAUGUUUAUCCUGGAGUUGAGCAUAGAGAGUGCAUGAGACAUUUGUCUCAAAAUUUUGGCAAGAAAUUCAAAGGGAAAUUUUAUGAUGACAAUCUGUGGCCUUGCUCACUUACUUACAGCAUCAAAAAGCACAAUUAUCAUCUGAACCAGUUGAAAAGCAAGCUCAAAGUGAAGGACUAUCUUGAGGAGCACCACACCAAAAUAUGGGCUAGAGCUGAUUUCACUGAGUUGAGCAAGGUUGACUAUGUAAAUAAAAAUCUAGCUGAAUCAUUCAACUCUAGAAUCAAGAAAUACAAGGGCCUACACCUAGUUGACCUGCUUGACAAGAUCAGGCAGUAUAUUAUGGAGAAGUUUGACCUAAUAAAAAGAAUUUGCAUUGACCAUUUCAUUGGGCACAACAUCAUACUAGCAGUAAUGAAGGCAUUAAUGGAGAAAACUAAAGGUUUGGAGAUGAGCAUUGUGAGGAGAAGCCCAACAGAGGCUAAGGUAACUGCAACUGACAGAGAGAAGAGAGAAUGGAGGUAUCCUGUGGACUUGGAGAAAUGGACUUGCAGUUGCAGGCAAUGGCAGGUCACUGGUAAGCCAUGCAUCCAUGCACUUUUCUUCAUCACUUCUCCAAGGGGUGAUGCUAAUGCAAUUGAUAAGUAUGUCCAUAAGUACUACUCUGUUGAGAUGUUCAGAGCCACUUAUGCUGAAAACCUACCAGCUUUGGAAGGCAAGCAGCAGUGGGACAUUGUAGAUCCUGGAUUCAAGUUAUGUGCUCCUGUUCAGAAGCAAGCACCAGGCAGGCCAAGAAAACAGAGGAUUAGAGCAAGCAGUGAAGGAAAGGGCCUUGGGCCAAGGAAGAAGAAGUGCAAAAGGUGUGGUAGAUGUGGACACCAAGCCAAGGGAUGCACACGAUCUGUUGAUCCAGCUUUUGGAGAAGAAGAGCAUUGGGGUGCACAAAAUGCAGAUGAUCAUCCAACAGCAGAUGAGCCAGCAAUAGUAGAAGUGCAGGAUGAGGAUGAGGAUGAGGAUCAGCCAAUACCUAAUGUAGUCCAGCAUGAAAUGAGACCACCAAGGGAACCAUCUCAUGAAGCAUCUACACAAGCAAGUGUAGUAAGGUAUGUGCAAUUCUCACAUCCAUUUCUGUUCAUGCAUACAUUACAAUUUGUGACAUAUUUGCAAUUUUUAGCCCUAGGAAAAACUAUAAAAAGCAGCAGAGAGAGGAGCUUCUCCAAGGUUUGUGAAAGAGAAGAGAGGUGGAGAUGUACAACCAGCAACUACAUUGUCAGCUACUGGAAGCAGUGUUGACAGCAAGCUUGUUCCUCCUGCAUCAAAAGAACCAGCACAAAACCAAGCUCCACCAACUGGCCCCAACCCAGCCAGAAACACUAGAAGCAAGGCAAGGGAAGCUCCAAACCCAGCCAGAAACACCAGGAGCAAAAAACUGAAGUUCUAGAUGCUGUUAUCAACUAGAUGGUGUUUUUUACACCUUUUAUUUAUUGUUAUGUGUACUGUGUGAUGUUGCUAAACUUCUGAGAUGCACCUGUUAUGUCUACUGUCUGCUAUGGUGUUGUUAUGUACUUGGUGUUUUUAUGCACAAUGUGUUCUAAUCUUAAGGUUGUCGAACUUGUGUCAUUCAUAUGUGAUGCACAAUGUUGUGUCGUUCUAGUUGUUGUUGAACUUGUGUCAUUCAUCUGUCAUUUCACAAGUUUACGAUCAAAUUGAGCUGGCAAGAUCAAAUUCAGCAGUACAAGAUCAAAUUCAUUCACCAAACCACAUUUGACAACAACAUCUUAGAAUACCAAACUACUAUAGCUGACAUCGAACAACUGCAUAAUUUCUUCAACAACUACCAUAGUAGUGCAACUAUCAUACUAAUUCCCACAAGCAACAGUGCCCACAACAGCAGCAUCUCGUCUCUCUCUCGAAGCUUCUUCUUCAAAGCCUUGUUCUUCCUUACCAGCUCAAUGUUUUCCUUCUUCAAAUGGUGGCACUUGAUCCAACUCACUUCAACCUCAGCGUGCAAGUCUUCAAAAGCUAGUCCAACACGCAAUGGAGGAGCUGGGUCAACCCAAACCACCCAGUCACACUCAUCUGGUAACUAAUUGUAAAUCAAGAGUCAUAAUUAGAAAAGUAAAAAUUAGAGAGUAAAAAUCAAGAGUCGUAAUUUGACAUGAACUUACAUCCAAUGGGCAACCUAAAAAACGGCGGCCACUGCUUGCACCACCCCAUGAUACACGGCGGGCAGGAACAAGGCCAUGACCGGGGCAUCGAUGCUUCGACAGAAACUCCAAGCCGGAAUAAGACUCGUCGGGAAGAUAAAACUCUGAUGAAUGCUGCACAAUCCCGACCCCAUUGACCUAAAAAAAGUCAAAUUUCCCCCAAAAUGUCACAAACCCUAGCUUUGAACCCCAAAAUGUCGGGUAGGGUGGAGAAGCACGACCCCACCAUAUUGCUUACCUCUCCGGUCGCCGGCGAGAAGCUGGAUGAGCCCGAGCUCGCCAUGCGCACCGGCUCCUUCUCCUGCGUCCCGCUCCCCCCUCCAAUCUGGCCGCGCCUUCCUUUCGUCUGUUUUUCAUGAGAGCUGGAUGAGGACGAAGGGGUACUGAAGUUAGCAGCCCCAGGGGCAAAAAUGUCCAAAAUCUAGCGCCGGUAGCGGUCAAACGGCGCUGACUGGACGGAACCGUGCCGGAAGGGCAAAAGCAUAAGAAAACCAAAGUGAGUUGGGCAAGAACGAGGGUUUUUGGAAACUAGGGGCAAACCUGCCGAGGGUGACACAACUAGGGGUAUAAAAUCAAUUUUCCCCUAUAUUUUUAUUCACCACACGAUAUGUGUUUUGCUUGGAGCAUGUUGUAUGAUAUGGGUCUUUGCUUUUUAUUUUGCACAAUCAUCCUUGGUGUACACACCUUUUGAGAGGGACACACAUGAAUCGUGAUUUAUUAGAAUACUCUAUGUGCUUCACUUAUAUCUUUUGAGCUAGGCAAUUUUGCUCUAGUUCUUCAAUUAUAUCUUCUUAGAGCACGGCGGUGGUUUUAUUUUAUAGAAAUUGUUGAACUCUCAUGCUUCACUUAUAUUAUUUUGAGAGUCUUUCUAAACAGCAUGGUAAUUUGCUUUGGUUAUAAAUUUAGUCCUAAUAUGAUAGACAUCCAAGAGGGAUAUAAUAAAAACUUUCAUAUAAAGUGCAUUGAAUACUAUGAGAAGUUUGAUUCCUUAUGAUUGUUUUGAGAUAUGAGGAUGGUGAUAUUAGAGUCAUGCUAGUGAGUAUUGUGGAUUGUAUAAAUACUUGUGUUAAAGUUUGUGAUUCCCGUAGCAUGCACGUAUGGUGAACCGUUAUGUGAUGAAGUCGGAGCAUGAUUUAUUUAUUGAUUGUCUUCCUUAUGAGUGCGGUCGGGGACGAGCGAUGGUCUUUUCCUACUAAUCUAUCCCCCUAGGAGCAUGCGCGUAGUACUUUGUUUCGAUGACUAAUAGAUUUUUGCAAUAAGUAUGUGAGUUCUUUAUGACUAAUGUUGAGUCCAUGGAUUAUACACACUCUCACCCUUCCACCAUUGCUAGCCUCUCUUGUGCCGCGCAACUUUUGCCGGUACCAUACACCCACCAUAUACCUUCCUCAAAACAGCCACCAUACCUACUUAUUAUGGCAUUUCCAUAGCCAUUCCGAGAUAUAUUGCCAUGCAACUUGCCACCAUUCCGUUUAUUAUGACACGCUUCAUCAUUGUCAUAUUUCUUUGCAUGAUCAUGUAGUUGACAUAGUAUUUGUGGCAAAGCCACCGUUCAUAAUUUUUAUACAUGUCACUCUUGAGUCAUUGCACAUCCCAGUACACCGUUGGAGGCAUUCAUAUAGAGUCCUAUUUUGUUCUAAGUAUCGAGUUGUAAGUAAAUAAAAGUGUGAUGAUCAUCAUUAUUAGAGCAUUGUCCCAUGUGAGGAAAGGAUGAUGGAGACUAUGAUUCCCCCACAAGUCGGGAUGAGACUCCGGACGAAAAAAGAGAGGCCAAAGAAGCCGACAAAAAAAUGAGAGAAAAGAGAGAAGGGGCAAUGUUCCUAUCCUUUUUCCACACUUGUGCUUCAAAGUAGCACCAUGAUCUUCAAGAUAGAGAGUCUCCUAUGUUGUCACUUUCAUAUACUAGUGGGAAUUUUUCAUUAUAGAACUUGGCUUGUAUAUUCCAAUGAUGGGCUUCCUCAAAUUGCCCUAGGUUUUCGUGAGCAAGCAAGUUGGAUGCACACCCACUUAGUUUCUUUUGAGCUUUCAUAACUUAUAGCUCUAGUGCAUCCGUUGCAUGGCAAUUCCUACUCACUCACAUUGGUAUCUAUUGAUGGGCAUCUCCAUAGCCCGUUGAUACGCCUAGUUGAUGUGAGACUAUCUCCUUCUUUUUGUCUUCUCCACAACCACCAUAUUCUAUUCCACCUAUAGUGCUAUGUCCAUGGCUCACGCUCAUGUAUUGCGUGAAAGUUGAAAAGGUUUGAGAACAUCAAAAGUAUGAAAUGAUUGAUUGGCUUGUCAUCCGGGUUGUGAAUGAUUUGAAUACUUUGCGUGAUGAAGAUGGAGCAUAGCCAGACUAUAUGAUUUUGUAGGGAUAGCUUUCUUUGGCUAUGUUAUUUUGAGAAGACAUGAUUACUUUAUUAGUAUGCUUGAAGUAUUAUUGUUUUUAUGUCAAUAUUAAACUUUUGUUUUGAAUCUUAUGGAUCUGAAUAUUCUUUCCACAAUAGAUAAGAUUACAUUGAUAAAUAUGUUAGGUAGCAUUCCACAUCAAAAAUUCUGCUUUUAUCAUUUACCUACUCGAGGAUGAGCAGGAAUUAAGAUUGGGGAUCCUUGAUACGUCUCCAAUGUAUCUAUAAUUUUUUAGUGUUCCAUGCUAUUAUAUUAUCCAUCUUGGAUGUUUUAUAUGCAUUUAUAUGCUAUUUUAUAUUAUUUUUGGGACUAACCUAUUAACCUAGAGCCCAGUGCCAGUUCCUGUUUUUUUCCUUGUUUUUGAGUUUUACAGAACAGGAAUACCAAACGGAGUCCAAACGAGCUGAAACUUUACGACGAUUUGUUAUGGACCAGAAGAAGCCCACGGAGUAUCGGAGAUGGACUAGAGGAGCCACGAGGCAUCCAUAAGGGUGGAGGACGCCCCCCCCCCCUAGGGCGCGCCCCCUACCUUGUCGCCGCCCUCGUGGACCCCCCUGACUUGUCCCCGACGCCAAAAACUUCUAUAAAUAGAGAAAACCCAAGAAAUAAACCUAGAUCGGGAGUUCCACCGCCGCAAGCCUCUGUAGCCAUGAAAAACCAAUCGGGAGCCCGUUUCGGCACCCUACCGGAGGGGGAAACCAUCACCGGUGGCCAUCUUCAUCAUCCCGACACUCUCCAUGACGAGGAGGGAGUAGUUCACCCUCGGGGCUGAGGGUAUGUACCAGUAGCUAUGUGUUUGAUCUCUCUCUCUCUCUCUCUCUCUCUCUCUCUCUCUCUCUUGUUCUUGAUUUGGCGCGAUCUUGAUGUACUGCGAGCUUUGUUACAAUAGUUGAAUCAUAUGGUGUUUCUCCCCCUCUACCUUCUUGUGAUGAAUUGAGUUUUACCUUUGAGGUUUCACUAUUAUCUGAUUGAAUACUAUUAUGGAUUUGAGAACACUUGAUGUAUGUCUUGCGUGGGAUACCCAUGGUGACAAUGGGGUGUUCUAUUGAUUCACUUGAUGUAUGUUUUGGCACUCAACUCGUGGAUUCCCGAGGUGACAUUGGGGUAAUCUAUGCAUAGGGGUUGAUGCACAUUUUCGUCCCUGUUUCUCCGGUAGAAAUCUUGGGGCACUCUUUGAGGUUCUUUGUGUUGGGUUGAAUAUUAUGAAUCUGAAGUUGUUUGAUGCAUAUCGUAUAAUUGACCCACGGAUACUUCUGGUGACAUUGGAGUAUCUAGGUGACAUUAGGGUUGAUUGAUGUGUGUCAUAUGGUGUUAUUUUACUACGAACUCUAGGGCUGUUUGUGACACUUAUAGGAAUAGAUCAAUGGAUUGAUCGGAAAGAAUACUUUUGAGGUGGUCUCGUACCCUACAAGCAAUUUCAUCUUAUGUUCUCCACAAUAGGAACUUUGGAGUGACUUUUGUCGCACAUUGAGGGAUUGCCAUAUGAUCUAAUUAUGUUAUCAUUAUUGAGAGAACUUGCACUAGUGAAAGUAUGAACCCUAGGCCUUGUUUUCAAGCAUUGCAAUACCAUUUUCGCUCACUUUUGUUACUAGUUACCUUGCUGUUUUUAUAUUUUUAGAUUACAAAAACCUAUAUCUACCAUCCAUAUUACACUUGUAUCACCAUCUCUUCGCCUAUCUAGUGCACCUAUACAAUGUACCAUUGGAUUGGGUGUGUUGGGGACACAAGAGUUUCUUUGUUAUUUGGUUGCAAGGUUGUUUGAGAGAGACCAUCUUCAUCCUAUGCCUCCCACGGAUUGAUAAACCUUAGGUCAUCCACUUGAGGGAAAUUUGUUACUGUCCUACCAAACUCUGCACUUGGAGGCCCAACAACGUUUAGAAGAAGAAAGGUUGCGUAGUAGACAUCACUACCUAGUUUUUGUAGUAAUGUAAAAUUCUUAUGGGGGUUAUUUUAAUAUCUUGAGGCAUAGUGGGGAUAAGAAUAAGAGAAUGUAAUGUUUUCGGUAUAAUGAUAUUUUUAAUUCAAUCAUUCAUACUUAUGGUUUGAGAGAACCUUUUAUAAGUGGUGGAAAGUACACGUGGACUAAUAAUCAAAAGCAUAUGACUCUUGAGAAACUUUAUAUGAUCCUCAUGCCUAGUGAUUGGGCGCACCUUUUUCCUUUGGUGUCUGGAAAAAAUUUGGCCAGAGAUGUCUCUAACCAAAAUCACCUCUUAUUAUCCACCGAGAAUAACCAUGUUACAUGUCCUGAAAUAGGGAGCUUCAUUUUGAGAUUAAUUAAAUGAGAAAAGCUAAAUUUCUUCCCCUAGUUCAUAAGAUUUGUAGUAAACCUGUUAGGUCACCAGAUUCUAUUGAUGUACUGCACACUAAGAUAAAAAAUUUUUAUCAUGAAAGGCUAGGGCUCACAUUCCGUUGGUCAUGCUAGCUAGAAGGAGAAAGGAGGAACUUGGAGUGGAACUCUAUGUAUUGGUAGAGUUGGAAGAAUUAGGUCCUCUUCACCCUGAAUUAUAUUGUUGGAGAGUUGACAAUAAUAUUGUACUAAAUGAGAUCCUGGUUAAUGAGGAAGUAUACCUAUUACAACAAUCUCAUGAGAGAUGGUUAUUGAAAGGAGAUUAAAAAAACCUCACAUUCCAGAAAAUUGCUAAUGGAAAAAAAGGCACUAUACAUUCCUUCUUGGUUGAUGGUGUUACUAUUGAGGGUACCGACAACCUAUAAAAACCUCUUUGGUCCAUGCCCUGGGAAUAAUUUCCAUUUAUCCCUAGAUACCUGGUCUAUAGAUGAGAAGCUCUUUGGUUGUUAAAAUGAAAACAAAAUAGACCUUUCACUAUAGAAGAAGUUAAAAUGCUUUAUUUGAUUGGAUAAAAUAGAGCUCCUAGUCCUGAACUCCUCAUGACAUCCCUACUAUGUUUUUUUAGCGUUGUUGGGAGAUAAUUCAGUUUGAUAUUAUGAACAUGUUCCAUGCUUUCCAUGCUAGCACUCUGGAUGCGCAAAGACUCAAUUAUGGGAAAAUUACUCAGCUCCCUAAAAUUUUCUGCUACUAACAGAAUACACAACUUUGUCUUAUUUGUCUCCUUUGUAAGUGGAUUGAUAAGAUCCUUGACAUCAGAUUGGAAUCCUUUGUAGAUAUUUUGAUUAGUACCAACUAGAAUCUUUUUAUUAAGAAUAAGCAUAUUAGAUUUGAUAAAGCGUACAGUAAAGUCAAUUGGGAAUUCGUGAUGGAAUGCCAUGUGUUGAGAGGAUUUUGUCAUGUUUGGUGUAAUUGGACCAAAAAGUGUGUUACACAAUGGGACUGUCAGUGUCAAACUUAAUAACACUACUAGACCAUAUUUCGAUAGUCAUAAGGGGUUAAUGCAAGAGGACCCUCUCCCCCCCUUCUUGUUGAGUUUGGGCGUUGAGUGUCUAUCCAAGAUGGUUAAGAAUACUAGAAAAAUGAUUUACUUAGUGGCUUAGCUCCUGAAUUGAUUGAUAAGGAUGUUGCAACCCUACAAUAUGCAUAUGACAUGGUUUUAUGUAUUGAUCAUUACCCAGAGUGGGCUAUCAAUAUGAAACUCCUCUCAUGUAUAUUUGAGCUCAUGUGUGGCCUCAAAAUCAAUUUCCAAGAAAGUAAAGAUAUUUUGUAUUGGAGGUGAUGAUAGCAUCCUUGAUUUUUGUGUUGAGUUGUUUGGUUGUGUUACUAGUCAUUUUACUAUGAAAUACCUAGGAGUUCUUGUGGGUUUUGCUGCCUUGCACUAUUCUGAUUGGGAUUAUAUUGAGACUGAAUAUAUCAAGAAAUGUGAUGGAUGUCUAGCUAAUGUUGCUUCUAUGGGUGGUAGAACCAUUCUUCUAAAUUUCAAUGUUUCCAGCAUAUCAUAUUAUCAUAUGUCCUUGUUCUUGAUGAAAAAAACCUUUGUUGGCAAGCUUCAUAAACACAGAAGAAAUUUCUUCUGGCGGAGAAAAGGAGGCAUAAAAAUAUAUUAAUUGGUUAAGUGGUCUAGAGUGUGUAGAUCUAAGAAUAAGGGAGGUUUGGGCAUUACAGAUUUGAGAAGACAAAACAUUAGUCCUAUUGUGAAGUGGUGGUGGAAACUUAGCAUUAUUCAGGCCUUUGGCAAGAUACUUCUAAAGCUAAGUAUAUCAAGAGAGAUACUAUAGCUAUUGUUAAGGAAAGAUCAUCUAAUUCCCCUGUUUGGAAAGACAUCCUUAAAGUCAAAAACAUUUAUAUGUUGGGUAGAGAUGUUUCUGUUAAUUGGGGAUGUGGAUAAGCUUUGGAAAGAGCCUUGGGAUGAUAACAUUCCUUUGUGGAUAAAUUCCCUCAAUUAUUUGAUAUUUGCAACAUCAUGAUUGCACUAUUAAAGAGGGUGUUGGGGUCAAUGUUUUUAUUUUUUGAGGAGAAGACGAACCCCUAAGUUGUUGGAACAAUGGGAGUAUAUUAAGUUCAAUUGUGCUCGUUUACUAUCUUCUCCGGAACAUGGUGUUGUUUCCUGGAAAUUUGGGGUUAAUAAAAGAUUUCUACUGAAAUACAAAUUUUCCUUUGGCAAUUAUUCUAAGAUGCAGUUUUGACUAGGGAUAUGAUGAAGAGAAGGAAUUGGCCCGGUAACCCUAAAUGUUCAUUAUGUGGGGAGAGGGAAACCUCCCAACAUAUGUUCUUUCUUUCUCAGUUGCUAGGUUGGCUUGGCGUACUAUGGGAUCGGUCUUUGGGAAUGAUCAGUGCCCAAAUAGUUUAUGGUAGUUCUUUGCCUGGUGCUAUACUUUAUUUCUUUAUGGGGAAAACUUUUACAUUGUCAACUUAGCGCUUGCUUGUUGGAUUAUCAAGAAUUUCCGCAACAGACCAACCUUCGAAUUCAAGUUGCCUUGUUGACACCGAUUUCGGCCAAAGUGAAACACGGUGCUUAGAUAUUAUUCAAAUAAAAUCAUUUAUAUAAAAUGAUAAAACAAAUACUGAAUUGUCGAAUACGCGGAUUUAUAAAAAACCAUGAUGAAUUUCCGCCACGCCGCUCAAUAUAGAAUAAAAGACCAAAAAGGUAAAAGAGAAGAAAAUGAGUCAUAUUGUCGAGGAUAUAUGACUUUCAUACGCAUACGCCAUCACCAACAGCGAAAUCCCGAUGUUGACACAAAUUCAAAGUAUCGUAGAAGAUGCUAAUAUUGCCAAAAUGUUAUAUUGCAUUUAUGAGAAUUAUUAUAUCAUCGCUAACGAAAUAUCGGCGCGAUAUGUGUAAAGAAAUAGUAUGGCAUGUGGCGAUGCAUAAAAAAUAUAUCAGUGCGUCAAUUAUUACGGAAGAAUAUCUUUUCAUAUCAUUAAACUUUAUCUGCUUAUACAAAACGCUACGUACAUGCAUGGUGCAGGUAUGCAUGCAUGUGUUAUGCAUGGAUUAAAUAUGCAGCAAGGUUAAGAACUAAUUACCCAUCUGAGGAAUACACACAUGUACGAGCUACUAUGUAUGCAUGCAUGGAUUAAUUAUGCGGCAACGUUAAGAACUAAUGGAGUAAUUAGCCAACCCAUGGCCACAACACGUAUGGCCUACACGUAUUAUAAUCGACUGGGCCCAUCCAACUAAACUCUCAAAGCCAUUACGAAAGCUGAUCGCAUAGGAGAAAUCCAGUCGGCCAAGUUUUCUGCACGAUCUGAAGAACGUGGGCAAGCUCCCACGAUCCCACGAUUGUGAUGUGAGCCUGUCCAGCCGAAGACUUCUGUUGCUCUCUCCGCUUCUAUAAAUACUAGCCAGACCAAUGUAUUGCGGCUGCUCGCUGAUCAUUCAUCCAUCCAUCGGCAAGCAUAUCAUUCGCCCACUCAUCACUAGAACAUCGCUCAAGCGCUGCUCACAAGCCCGCCUAUGUACGCAUUGUCGGCCGUUCGCCUCGUUGUUGUCGUCGUCGCCGCCGUCGGCCAUUCGUCAUCAUCGUCGCCGCCGGCCGCUCGUCAUCAUCGUCGCCGGUCAUGCCGCUCUUCGUCGGCCACACACGUCGCCGGUCGCUCGUUGGUCCGCGCCACUCAUCGUCGACGUUGCCGGCUGCUCAUCAUCUGCACCGCCCACAAGCUGCGACACACCGGCGGUUGCUCAUCCACAUCACCACUUCACGGGAGGAAAGCCAAGGCAAGGUGAGAGUGCAUGGCUACCUCCUUGUUUCCCUUUUGAUGUAUUCCUGUUGCAUCAUAUGUGUCAAACAGUAGUGGUGUUUUUACGUUGCUCCAUAUAGCACACCUUGUUUGGUCUCAUGGGAUCUAGCAUCCUUUGUUGAUACCAACCAAGAUUAAAUUAAGUCACUUUUGUUUUGGACUCAUGGUGAUCCUGCAUCCCAUGUUGAUACAAUCAUCGAUGAUGCUUUUGUUUCACCGUACACCUUAUAUAUGUUCAGUGCCUCCCAAUUAAUUUUCUCUUGGUUCGGUCUCAUGAUGAUCUCGAUCUCAUGUUAAUACAAAUCAAGACAAUACAUAAAUGCCUACUCUGGUCACAUAUCGUUGUUCAAUCCUAUAUUGAUGCGAACUACGUUCAAAUGUGCAAUCAAAAUUCUUGUCUUGGUCUCAUGGUGAUCUUGCAUCUCCAUGUUGAUACAACUCAAGAAUAAAAUUCAUAUUCAUCUUGGUUUGGUCUCAUGGUGAUCUCGCAUCCCACGUCGAUACAAUUCAAGAAUAAAAAACAUGUUCAUCUUGGUUUGGUCACAUGGUGAUCUUGCAUCCCAUGUUGAUACGACUCAAGAACAGAUUCCAUCCAUCUUGUUUGGUCUUAUGGUGAUCCCGCAUCCCAUGUUGAUACAAAUCAAGAAUAGAAAUAUAUUAAGUUAUUUGAUAGAUGAUUUUUCUAUUGAUUUGCACUAGACAAAACAUAGUGCCCUUGCGAUAUGGAAAUGGCCAAUGAAACAUGAUAAACUUGCUAAACUUGAAUCGACAAUUUUCAUAGACCCCAUCAUGUCCUUGCAAGACAUAAAUUGAUAUAUACUUCUGUUUGGUUACACUACAAGCAUACAAUCUAUGCUAUGUUGGUGAUAAUACAAGCAAGAAAAAGUCAUGACACUUCAUUUGGUUAUGCUACGUAUACACAUGGGCACGAUGUUGCUACGUGAAGCACUAAUACAAGUGAAGUGAAACUUUAUUCCCAUGCACUUGAAAUCCAAGGUCAUAUAAAUAUUUGACAAGAUUCAUCCAGUCGCAUGUUCAUAUAUGAUAUGUUUGAGACUAAGAAAAAACUAGUAUUUAGGCAUAACCCAUGUGUCAUAAGAUAAUCUUUCAUACAGAUUAAAAUUAAAUCAUGCACUCCUUUUAUAUAGGUGCAUGCAUGCACAAAACUAAAACAUAACCAGGGUCAUAACCCAUGUCACUCGCACUAAACAUAAUAUAGUGCGAUCGAAUAUGUCAUCAAUAAAUUUCAUAUAGCCCUCGCAUAUAAUGGCUCGAGGCAACGCUAUAUACGUUGCUAUAAAGUAAACCCAAUAUUCUGCCAUUAACUCAUAAAAAGAGUUAUGCUAUAUAUUGCAUAUACACCCGUUAGCCCGGCUAGUUAACCAUUAAAAUAGAGCUCCAUACGACUAAAAAGACAACCACUACAUAUUCGCGAUGGUUAAUGAGCUAGGCAUGAACGUGCUAUAUGAAUGAACAUCGUCAAAUCAUGACUGUUAUGAAACACAUAUGUUGCCAUAGACGAGGUUCAAGGCUCCCCGAGUACGCCGACGUCGACGGCAGCAAGGAGGAUUUUUAUUUCUACAUUUCUACAUUUUCUUUUAAUUCUACAUUUCGUAGUACUCAUCUGUUGUGAUGCUAUAUAAUAGAUAUGUUGGAAUUCUUAAUUAGGAGUUUUCUCAAUGUAAUUAACAGAAUUGUUAUGUAAUUGUAAGAGUUCUGAAAAUAAAGUACCUGCAAUGUUUGAUCUCCAUUUUAUUUAUGCAUUUAAAUUAUUCACUCUGUAUCAAUGGCGUGGACACGUAUUUUCACGCCCGCCAUUUUUCCCGUCAUCAUGCCUCAAUCUCCAUUUGAAUCUGUGUUUGCAUUUUGUCCGUUCCUAACGUCUUGGGCAGGUUUAUGGAAGGCUAGGGACUUGGAUGCUUUAAGGUACGAAGCUACUAUUCUCAGGAGCAAUGCUACGAGUACGAUGAUGGUCCGCCCGAGGAUUCCGGAGGGAAUUGAAGCUAACAAAGGGUAGGUGGUCUAUGAUACUCCUUACUAUGAGUAGCCUUAGGAGCCUUAGGAUAACGAGCACACUAAUUGACUACUUUUACAAAGUAUAGAAUUGAUCUACUACUGAGUGCGGCGUUUCUGCUUCCGGGCUCAGCUGGCUCUCUACAAAAAAGACAAAAUCAGAGUCUGUAAAAAAGUUUACUGUUCACACACUGUUUUGAUCCGAUUUGUCUUUUUUGCCGAGAGCUGCUCAGAUAUUCAAAUGAGUUGAAAUUUUGAGUGGACCUCACGCAUCAAAUGAUCUACCACACAAAAAAAUGGAUUUUUUUUGAAUUUUUCUAGUAUUUGUUUUUAAUUUUUCUGGCCGGGAGCAGAUGAGCCUGUGCACCGAUUUGGAUUUUCGUCUGCUACUACUCUAACAUCUAUCUUGGUUGAAAAGAUUUUUGAGUGAAUUCAGUCCUUUAAACAAAAAAGGGAGGGAGCACUUAUUUCGCUUUCGCAGCACUAUAAGAUCCAGGGAGGCGGGCGUUGAAUCGGCACUUGGCUAGUUGACCGAGCGGCCGCGUUGUCAUCUCCACUUCCAUCCAUUUCUUGGCGACUCUCCCGGCGAUGGGUUUCAGCGUCGGGGAGACGCUCGCGUCGGCGGUGGUGAAGGAGGCGGUGAACAUGAUCCGCGUCGCGGCCGAGCGCGAGGCGGGCCUGCUCUGGAGCUUCAAGGACGACCUGGGGGCCAUGGGGGACACGCUGGAGACCAUCCACGCGGCGCUCAGGGACGCGGUCGCCGCCCGCGGGCCGACGCCGGACGAGAGGACGCGCCUGCUGCUCGGGCGCCUCAAGGCGGCGGCGCAAGACAUCGAGGACCUGCUGGAGGAGUUCGCGGACGCCGGCGCCCGGGGCCGCCGCAGCAACUGGCUCCGCGAGGUUCGCGUUUUACCGGAAAUUGACAUGUGUGCAUCCACUAACUUUGAAGUUGCAGUUUCCAAAGUGUGCAAUUUUGUUAGCAAAAUGUCGCUUUCCCUAAUUUUGGAGUGAUGUGGUGAUGGUGGAUUGUUGUUCAGAAGAAUUACAAGCUAACUGUAAUUUACACGAAUGUUUUUCUGUAUCUUCAUAUUACUGCAAACCUGUAACCUUCCUCUCAGUAUGUUUCAUACUUCCAUUUCACCAUCUUUUUCCUACUGAACGGGCGUUAACUACUACCAACAGGGGUCUCGCUGCUGCUAUAAUAUAUCUCUGUCGCGCAGUAUCUUGGCUCACAAAAUGAAGAAGAUGAGGGAAAGAUUAGGAAGAAUUCAAGCAGAUGCUGGACUUGCUAGAUCCCAUGGUGGCACGAGCAGCAAUCUCCAUGAUAAGGAUGAUGAUAUCAGCCGAAGAGAAACAUGGUCAGAUUUCAGAGAAUAUAUUGUGGGGAGAGAGGAGGACAGAGAAGCAGUAGUGAGCACUUUGCUCAGGCACACUGAGAAAGAGCUCUCUGUUAUCUCGAUACAUGGCUUUGGCGGUUUAGGGAAGACAACACUUGCCCGGCUGGCCUUCAAUGCCGAGCCUGUGAUUGGAGCCUUCGAUUGUAGGGUCUGGAUUCAUGUCUCUAUGAAGUAUGAUUUGAUAAAAAUUGGGAAGUCGAUACUUUCCAAACUUGAAGCAAAUUGUUCUGGUGAUUUGGAUCACUUGAAGACACAACUGAAAGGAUUGCUCAAGGACAAGACUUUCUUGAUCGUUCUGGAUGACAUUUGGGAGGAAGACCCGCAUGAACUGGUGAAGUUAAUGGAUUUUCUGAAUGUUGGUGCAAAAGGAAGCAUGGUCUUAGUUACUACACGAUAUGAGAAAAUCGCUAUAAACAUGGACCCUGUCCUAUGCCACAGGCUGGAGAGUUUAUCUGAUGGAGAAUGUUGGGAUCUUUUUAAGGAAAUGGCCUUCGUCUCUGAAGCCAAAGAAGCAAGACUGCAACACAUCGGCAGAGAUAUAGUAAAGAAGUGCAAAGGUGUUCCUCUAGCUGUGAGAUCGCUUGCAUUCGUACUAAAAUUGAAGGAAGGGGUUGAUGAGUGGGAAGAUAUCAGGGAUAGUCACCUCUGGGAAUUGGAGGAAAAACAAGAUAUAUCUUUUGAUAGUGUCCUGCCAUCAUUGAAGUUGAGCUUUCAACAUAUGUCUGCCACCUUGAAAUUAUGCUUUGUGUAUUGCUCUGUCUUCCCAAAAGGCAGUUACAUUGACAAGGACUUGCUGAUCCAACAAUGGAUUGCACUUGGGUUUAUUCGGCUGAAUGAGUCGUUCCAUCCUGAAAGGCGCGGAGAGGAGUAUGUUAAACAACUUUUGGGGAUGUCCUUCCUUCAGAUUUCAACUACACAAACACCUGUGAGUCACCCUGUAGGCUUUUAUAAAUAUUUUCUCAAGUUUAGUUUCAUUCUGUUCCUGAUCAAAUACCAGAUAGUCACAUACCAUAACCCAGUUCCAAAUCUAUGGAAGCAGAAGAACCAAUAUGUGAAUUCAAUAUGCAAUCCAAGUGUUGUGAUUAUUUAUGAAUAUGCAUCACUUGCAGCUACAGAACAUUAUAGUAUGUAGACUUGAAAAUACGAGUGUAUGUCGUGGGUGUUAUCCAAACCAGCUCACCAUACUUUUGUGUUGGAUUGUUCUGUUGUUUUUGUCUUUAAAAGUGGAAUUUCUCAGCAUUUGGCUGGCACAUGGUGUUUGUUUGUAACAUUUUUCUUCCAGAUUACCAGGAAAUGUAUUGAAGCACCAAAUGUAUUCCGUUUGCAUGACCUAGUAUAUGACUUGGCAAGAUCGCUGGCGAUGGUGGACCUACUUUUCCUUGACACUGAGAGUAACCUUAAAGUUAGUUCCACACACAGUGAUUGCCGUUAUGCAGUGCUCACCAAUUACAAUCCAACAACUCUCCCUAACAACAUGAUGAGAAAACUGAGGGCUCUCCAUGUUAACGAAUGGAAGCAAGAAAAGAUCCCUAAUAAAAUAUUUGCUACUAAAUUCUUGAGAGUCUUGAAUUUAAGUGGAUGUUCUCUUUUGGUGCUGCCAAGUUGCAUCAAACAGUUGAAGCUACUGAGGUACCUUGAUGCUUCAGGAAUGCAAGAUAAAACGCUUAAUCACUUGAGCAGUCUGCAGAAUUUACAGGCAUUAAAGCUCUCGGGUAGCUUGAUUGGGGCACUUCCACAUGACAUGGGUUCUCUUGAGAAGCUGCGUUACUUAAAUCUGAGUGGUUGUUCUAAUCUUUUGGUACUGCCAGAAUCAUUAUGUAGUCUUGGAAACUUGCAGUAUCUAGACAUGUCAAACUGCUCUGCAAUUAAGGAGUUGCCUCCACAUUUUGGCAAUCUUUUUAGCCUGUCAACUCUGGAUUUAUCAUCUUGUUGUGACUUAACAAAGCUUCCAGAGAGUCUCGGUAGCCUUCAAAAGCUUCGUGUUCUAGAUCUUUCUAACUGUUGGAAACUUGAUGCAUUGUCUGAUUCUUUUGCUAAACUUGAUCAUUUGAAGGGUCUAAAUUUGUCAUGUUGUUAUGAACUUAAAGAGCUACCAGAACUAUUUGGCAACCUUGAGACUCUGGAUCUGUCAGAUUGUCACAAGCUUCAGAAAUUGCCUGAAUCUAUUUCUGGACUUCAAAAUUUGAAGGUACUAAUUCUAUCUGACUGCUGGGAGCUAACUGUACUUCCAGAGUCAUUCGGGAAUCUCAAACAACUCCAGUAUCUAGACCUGUCAAGUUCUCAGAUUUCUGCAUUGCCUGAAUCUGUUAGUGAACUUGUCAAUUUAGAGUAUAUGAAUAUAUCAUGGUGCACGGAUCUUCAUGAGUUACCUGGUAACUAUGGCAAUUUAGUCAAACUUGAAGAGCUGAACAUGUCAUACAUUGGCAAUGGUAAUGUCAACAUUCCAAAGGGGAUAGCUGAAAUGUCUAAUCUCAAGAUUCUGUUGGCAGAUGGCCUUAUCAAUUGGUCAUGGGAAAAUGAAGAAGAUAUCGUGUUCUUUAAUGCUUUAAGUAGCUCCAGGUCUAGUUUUUUCUUUACUGGGGAGAAUAAACCAAGUGAUUUAAGCAUAAAGGAUAAUACUCUUCAAGUUGGAGAUCUUGGGCGUGUGCAGAAUCUUGCGGAAGUUGAGGAACUGCAAUUAUGGAAAAGGCGGCAGCUGCACUCACUGAUGGUCUGGGGGCAUGGUUAUGGGACUGGUACAGAACUAGCACAAGAACUUGUGCCUCAAGAGGCCGUGCUUGAGAAAUUGCAACCUCCAAGGACACUAGAACGGUUUGAAUUGUUGGGCUGUACUAUUUCUACAUUUCCUAGUUGGAUGACAGACAUUGCAUCUUUCCUCCCAAACCUUGCUCACCUUGAACUACGCCAUCUGGAAACAUGUGGCUGCCUUCCACCUCUUGGACAACUGCCUAAGCUACAUAUGUUGGUGAUAUCUGACAUGCCUCAUAUCAAGGAAGUCAAUCAAGAAUUCUCAGGGGGUGCUAGACCAUUUCAGAAGUUAAGAAAUAUUGUGAUAAAGAAUAUGCCAAACCUGGAAAAAUGGCACACAGAUGCUACUGUAAGUGGCAAUGAUGUGGAAUUCAUGUUCCCAGUUCUUCAUCAUCUGAAGAUACACAAAUGUCCAAAGUUGAGAUUUCAGCCGUUCCUUCCUCGAUCUGUGUCAUUGGAAAUUUAUAGAAGCAAUCAAGUUCUAUCGUCAGGAGUUCAAUCAAAUGGCCAUUUGUAUUACAUGCCAACAAUAAGGGUGCUGAUCGAUUCCUGCACAUUAUCUUCUGAUGGUUUGAUAGGGUUGCAGUCUCUUACCUCCCUCAAGUUCCUCGGUGUGCGCCACUGCAUAGGUCUGGAUAACUGGAGAGAUAGCAUUGACAUGCUAACUUCACUGAAGAGUUUAGAUAUAGCUAUGAGCAAUGUUCCUGAAUGCUUGGGAGGUGUCACUUCACUGGAGUGUCUGAAAAUCCGUAACUGCCCAGUAAAUUAUAACACUCUAGAGCAAGUACUACAUCUUACUGCAUUGGUGGACCUGUCAAUUUGUUGUAGCCAACCGACUAAAUUAGUAAAUGAACAAGAGGUAAGAAGCAUAAUCAACAAGAUACGUUUUUCUUACUUUGACACGCUUCACUCUUCACAAAAUGAUACAGAUCAGUAUAGAAAUCACAUAUAUUUCAAGUAGGGCACUGCGUGCUGUCAUUUAACAUUGUAAUCUGUCAAAUCAUAGACCCAUGAAUUGAAAAAGAUAAUUUUGUGUGCCAACAAUAUGCAGUUUCUGGUGGAACCAGGUUUCAAGUAGAAUUCAGAAUGACAAAAAGAACACAAAUGGACAAUAAACCUCAACAAAAUGUAGGAAAAGAAUCAUAGUUUCUGAUAGUUUGGCAUCUUCUUUUUACAGGUCAAUUGGUUGACGAAUAUGCCAUCCUGUCUCGAGAAUCUUGUAAAUCUUGAGCUUGACAAUUUCAUUGGCUGCGACCGACUUCCCUUCCUUGGCUGUCUAGAAAAGCUACGUUCAUUGACACUACGACAGAUGCCUGAUCUCAAGACAGUGCAUCAGGAUAUUUCCGGGGGCAGCAAUUGUUUGCCGAUGCUACAAACCCUCAAGAUAGGGAGCAUGCCUAAUCUUGAAAGGUGGACUACCGCGCAUGCUACUGCAGCACAUGCUACUCAUGUGAGGAUCUUCCCUGAUCUUCAACUACUCAAGGUUUUUGACUGUCCAAAGCUUAAGUUUGUGCCAUUUCUUCCAGUCUGCUCAAAGUGCAUUUCAGUGUGACUAGUGAAGUAAUAGUGCCGGAGCACCAUGAUGAUCCUCCCUGGGACAUGCCCACAUCAGAACUAUUCUGCUUCUAUUUACAUGGUAGAUGCACAGGACUCCAAUACUUCAAAUUCCUGAGAUUACUAUCAGUUUAUGGCUGUACAAAUAUGAGCAGUUGGCAAGAAAGCAUCCUCCUCCUUACCUCCCUUCAAAAACUGGAGUUGCAUGAGAGCGACAUGCCUGGAUGGUUGUGUAAACUCUCCUCACUGCGUGAACUUCACAUCAUAAAGAGCAAACCACCGCUCAACCUAUCCCAGUUUGUUUAUGAUCGUCACCAGAUUGCCUUAAGAAUCGAGGAUUGCCAGGGGACACUCAAGCAGGUGCCUUCUGUAGUGAUUUUGGACAUGAUAAGACACAUCACUUCUGUGGAAAUAAUUGGUGUAAGUUCUGUUCAGCACCUUAAAUAUACGAACAUACCAUUUUUUAAAGUUUUUUGAUACAAAAGUUAUGCAAUUACUUUCUUCCUAAUUCUUAGCCAAUGUCAAGGUAACUGUGCAAGAUCCAUUUCUGAAUUAUACUUUUCACCUGUGCUAUUACUUGACACCCCAUGCAGAAGUGUGAUGUGCUUCUUUUUAUGCGCAAGAUGCUAUCGAAACAAUGAUUCUGUAACACCAUGCUAGUAACUAGAAUUCCAAAUCAUCCUCUUCUUUUGGGUAACCUUCAUGUAAUCAAGCCAAUAUUUUAAUAUUGUGUAGCGCAGUCAAACAGUGACUUCAAGAUUUUGGGAUAGCCUUAUUUCAUUCAGUGACAUGACAAGAUGGUCACUUCCAUCCCUCAUCUUGUUCUAAUGCUCUAGCAUUUUGAUGUCAGUGUGAGCCGAUAAUGCAUGCAGAGUGGCGAAAUGGUGAACUCUUCAAGUGCAAACUUCGAAAGUCCAGUGAGGUGAGUAUGGCUUGAUUGACCUACUUAAAUGCUUUGGCUCAUGUAGACAUCAUAUUAACCUUGUGGUUCUAAUAGAAGAUGGCAUUCUAAUUUAAAGCACCUAUUUACCCUCACUCAUAACAUUUAUCAUGUUACUCAUUACUCUUGGUGUAGUAUUCAUUAUGAUUAUUCUAGUCCCGUAAACAAACAUGGAAGCACUCAUAUGGAUACUGAAGGACAUGGAUAUCUCACGAAAUGAUGGUGAAAAGUCACAUUGGAAUCAUAGAACGUCAUGUACCCAAGGUCAAUUCUUUGAAGCUAGUUUGACAAUAUACUAGAGAAUGGAGGCAGCACAUGGUAGGGCUUUAGGGGGUGUUUGGUUAGGUUGGAGGUGGCUUUUGUCUUAUAAGAAAAACCCGAAAGAAACAUGUUUCUGUAACCUGUUUAUGUUCCUUUGGCUUUGGCUAUUGGCCUAUAUAUUAUAAGAGAUCUCCAACGGCCGCACAAAAAUUCCGCGCCCAAUAAACGUUAUAGUGCGCCACUGUAGCACUUUUAAUGCGCCGGGACCAACUUUGCUUUAGCAGGCGCCCAAAAAUGCGCGCCCAAAAAGCAGACAGUGCAAAUUGUGAAGCGCGCGCAAUCCGGCGCCCCAAAUAUGCUGCGCGCGAUAGCGUUUUUCAGCGCGCGCCCAAAAACUUUUAGCGCUACAGCUUCUGCUGGAGCUGUCCGGCGCCCAAAAAAACAAACUUUUAGUGCGCGGAGCUCUUUUUGGGCGCCUGUUGGAGAUGCUCUAAUAGUUGUAUGCUUUGGAAGAAGCUUGUAUUUCAGAAGGUUUUUUUGAGAGAAAAGAAGAAACUUCUUCAACCAAUUUGCCUUAAGGCACGGCCAUGCAUAACUUAGAAAUCACACGUGGAAGGGGUAAUUAUCUAAUAUCUAAUCAGUUUGCCAAACGACCUACGAUAUUCCCACAACGGAGAGCCCGCAGCAGUUUUUUCUUUGCAACAGACAGUCCACAGCCCAACCAAACAUGCCCUUAAUACUCGUGUCCCUUACGGGACUGCACAGUUUUCCUAUUUCCAUGAUAAGCUGGUAUUACUAUGCUACAAAGAGUCACAAACUUAACAAAGUAGACUGAAGAUUUUCACUUUGCUGUUGCAGUGGUACAUGCCGCGUGCAGAUGCUGGGUCACUGCCGACCAUCCUUGGCACAUGGCAAGAGGUGCAAGCAGAAAACGCGAACCUCGAUACUUUUAUCUGUUUGAAGUACCUUGAAGCAUGGUCUCUCUAAAUUCAGCAUUUCGAUCCCACUGAAAACUCCACGGUCAAUGCAGGAACCGACAGAGCUCCGCUCUGGUGAUACAGCCAACCCUGACCAACCAGGGCCUUCAGGAACCAAGUGACCGAUGAUGAUGAUGCGAAUAAGGAGAUGGCUGCAGUGAAGACCUCCCUCCUCCUGAUGCUUCUUCCUCAGUGAAAUACAUGAAUUUCUCAUUUCUGUGUUGUGCAAACACAGCACCCAGCUGCAAGACGUACUCCGUGCUAUCCGUAUUGUUGCCUCGCGUGAAUUUGAAGCCAAUGCAUCCCCGGUGAUUCGAAUCGCCGCAUAGGCAAUAUGUUCAUGCAAAUCAGGUCAGCGAAAGUUGUAUAUGGUUAACUGGUUUUGAUGUUCAGAGAAACGAAAACUGCUUUGGUUGUGUUCAAACUUUGCUGAUUUUCAUUCAAACAAACCCAUUUAUUGAGACGGAUUUACAGAUUGGUACUAUGACGUGGCUUGUCACAAUAUGAAAAUGUUGUUGACAAUUUCGUGUGCAUGGUUUUAUCUCGGAGCUACUGGUCUGACCUGUACCAAUGUGUAAUUCCAAUUCCAACUUUCUCUUCUUAUCUUAUUUACUCUGCGAGGAUAGUAGAUUUCGUCUUCUAAGCGACUAUACAUUUUCAGACGCCGGGGACACAACCUGAAAAUAAAGCGAAACAAAAAUUCAUUUUCUGCUGAAGGACUGAAACUUUCAGCAGAAUAACGGAACUCAAGCGCUCAACUCACUGCAAGAACGGCCACAUCCGUGUGGACACCAGAUGCUUCAUCUAAGAGAAAUGCAGCUAGCAACUUUGAAGUAGUGGCCAUUUCCAACACAUUACAGACUGAUGCCACUGCAUCAUUUUUCAAACAGUUUCAGAAUUUCAGAACCGUGAUGCCAACGCAAAUAGGUUUCCUACUGUCAGGAGAACAAACCAAAAGUUUAGCUAGCUAGCAGAAAAACAAAAACUGCUGGGUUUUUCUGAAUCCAUAUCUCAACGCAAGGAACUGGGUUCUAAUGUCAUCGUGUCCGAGGCGGCGACACUUCUGAAGAAGUGGACAGGAAGGCGACUUGUAGGGGUAUCUUUCUACUCUGCAUUGACAUCCGCGUACCGCAGCCCCGCGUGAACUGGAUUAGCAGAAAAAUAGUUAAGCAGUUAGGCAUCAUGUGUCACAGGUACUGGAACAAGUUGAAAUACAAAGAUGAAAAGGAAAGCAGAUGUACAAAACCUCAAAACAAUGUAAUCUGUUUUUUUUUACAAUACAGCAGUUUACACCCCAACAAACAACUAGCUUCAGAGACAACCUUCUAGCAUAAUGUCGUGCCUGUUGAACACCUACUGAUUUGAUUCAGGAACUUUUACUGAUGUCUAUAAUCCUACAACAGUUUACAUUCCUAACUGAAACAGAUUAGCAGCAAAAGUUUCAGCAAACUGGUUUUCAGACUACUGUUUUCCAAGCACGGGCAGAUUAGCACUCAACUGAAACCAAAACCAAAACAUCCGGACAAGUUCAAACUACUGCAAAACAUUAUCUUCUCUGUGAAACAGUUACAAUAGGCUGAAAAAGCAGAAAUCAUUAUCUUCUCUGGGAAUCUGAACUAGGCAGACCGAACUGAUUUGGGUUUUGAAGUUCAGAAGUUUUCCACUAGUGGCAUACAUAUGGUAUAUUGGUAUUAAAUAAAUUGAAGAACUGAAUCCUCCGAAUCGAAGCACAAUAGCAUCAAAACCAAUAGUUUCCAACUAGCUUCAGACAAACAGAGUGGAUUUUAGAAUUAUGAAAUGAUUUUCACCCCAACAAACAACCAGCUUCAGACAACUGAUUUGAUUCAGCAACUUUUACUGGUGCCUAUAAUCCUACAGCAGUUCAGAUUCCUAACUGAAACAGAGUAGCAGAAAAAGUUUCAGCAAACAGACUGUUUUUCAGACUACUAGUUUCGAUUCGAACACUGUUUCCCAAGCACGGGCAGAUUAGCACUCAACUGAAAUGAAACCCAAAACAUCCGAUCCGGACAAGUUCAAGACAACUGCAAUGCAAAUAAGAGUUUCUUGCCAAAGGAGAAGAGUAGGAAGUUGAGGAUAUGGAGGGGCACUCACGAGGCGUCCCGACGACGACGACGGCGACGUGGAGGGGCUGGCGGUUGUUGGGCAGGUCGACGAGGAGUGGGAAAAGCCGGCCAUCACGUGUGGGGAGGCACAAGACGAGGUCGCCGACGCCCAAGACUUGGACGGCGUUGAGCAGCCUGGCCAGCUCCUUCCUCAGGCGGAACACGGAUCUCCCCCUGAACGUGUGCCAGCCGCUGGUGAUGAGGUCCCCGUGGUUGUCCGUCCACACGUACACGAUCUGCCGCGACGGCAGCACGGCGCGGGGGAGGGUAAGCUGCAGUUGCGCCCCAACAUCGUCAGCAGAUCAAAAUCAUCAAAUACGAAUUUGAGAUGCCAAGAAUUUGAAAGCGCAAAUUUGGCAAGAACCGAGCCAAGAAUUGCUCCCAGGCGAACGAAAUUAACACGAUUUGCGAUCUCCGCGGUCGUAUUCCGAUGCAUGUUAACGACAUCCAAUCCAAGAACCCAGUUACCAGCUCGCGCAAAAUCGACCGGGAAGAAUCAAGAAGCGGGCAUGGCGGACUCACCCCGGUGGAACGUGGAAGGGGAGGCAUGGUCUCCCGGCCGGGGAUGGGCUCCACGACCCAGUGCAUCAUCGUGCUGGUGCCGUCGAUGUGGCCGAUGCUGGCGCCGUUGUUCCAGGGGAGGUACUUGCCGUUGGCGCGGAGGCAGCCGAGGUUGAAGUGCUGGAGCCGGACGUCGUCCCCGGACCCCGUCCGGAUGGCCGUCCAGCAGACCGCGUCCGCCUCGCGGUGGUCGUAGCUGCGCAGCUCGACGCGGAACCCGCGGAGGCCCACCGGCGCCGGCCCGUCCGUGGCGGCGAGGUACAGGCCGUAGGCGGCGCUGUGGAGGAGCAGGUACGGCACCUGGGCGCGGGGGGGCUGGUACACGUGCACCGCCCAGGCCGCGUUCAUCGACGCCCGGCGGUGGUGGAGGGAGGCGCCCUGCCCGUCCUCGUCGGCGUGCAGGUACGUGCCCAGAUCGCGGCUCCGCAGCCGCACGUGCUGGCCGUGGUGGAACAGCUCCAUGGGUCGCUUGAGCUGGACCGCUGCGGAGGAGAGGGGGUGGGCUCUCCGCGGCGGAGACGGGGAGCGGGUUCUUGGUUUCUUGGCGCUCCGACGACGGGGAGAAGAGGGGGAGCGAAAGCUGUUGGUUGCGGCGGUUAUGUUUGGGCGCCAAGCCGGAGUAUUUGAAGGUGUGCCUGACGCCGUCCCCGUCCCUGUGCUCAGCUUUCGGCACUAGGUGGGCUUGUGGGCCGUGGCCUCGGAAACGUAAUAUUUCUCUGUUUCUCAGUUAAGCUAAAUAAAUCCGCUGGUGAUUCCCCUCUAGUUAGGGUUUUCUCUCCUCCCGACGGCGCCUGGCACCGACGUGGAGACCGCGAUCCCCUGCGUCUCCCAGACCAUUGAUCGCCGGCGGCUUCGGACGUCGGGCUCGUGUGCGCGCUGGGCGAUCUAUCUAGGGGUUCUCCCUCCCGCGGAAACCGACUUCUCGGGCAAGAGAUCCGAUGGAAGGCUCAACGUCGGCGUCAGCCGUAGCGAUGAGCGACAUGGAAGCUAUGAUGAAGGAAUUGGUCCUGAAAGAAGAUGAUCUGGAGGAUGUUGUGGUUCAGGAUGGCGACAUACCAGAGGAAGCGGCGCGGUGGAUGGCGAUCGCGCGGGUGCACAUUGAUAAGCCGUACAGUCAGUAUUGGUUUUUUCGUAACAUGCGGGUUGCAUGGGAUCUAGCACAAGAAGUCAAGUUCCGCCCUCUAGAAGACAACCUCUAUACUAUGCAAUUCUCCUGCCUGGGUGAUUGGGAGAGAGUCAUGGAGGACGGCCCCUGGACAUACAAAGGAAAAGCUGUCGUAAUCGAGCCCUAUGAUGGUUUCACCAGACCAUCGUCUAUUGUUCCUAACAAGAUUGAGAUGUGGAUCCAGAUCCAUGAUCUCCCUGAACUGUUCUUCCACUUGAUUAAAUCGCUAGCAGCUACUGUUGGUGACUUCAUAUUUGCUGAGCCCAAAUUGCAGGACUUUGAGGGGAACUUUUUUAGGGUUCGGGUGAAAGUGGAUGUCACAAAGCCGCUCAAGAACGCAGUAUCGCUGGUGAUCAAGAAGAGGAGAGAGAUAUUCAGGGUGAAAUAUGAGAGGCUUCUAGAUUGGUGUGCUGUCUGUGGUAUGCUAGGCCAUCAGUUCAAAGAGUGUGGCGAUGGGAUCCAUCCCCAAUCUGCGCUUGUGUUCAAAAAUCUGAAAGCUGUCUGGUUCAGGAGCCCAGGCCGCGGACCAGGUGCUGCAAGAGGCUUUGAAGGUGGUCGAGGGAGAGGUAAUGGUCGUGCAGGUCGUGGAGGCCGGGGCUCGGGUCGAACACAACAAGAUAACUUUGACCAGGCUGUUGAUCUGGAUACAGACAUGGAAGAAGGAGACAGGAACCGCAAGAGAGGAGCUCAUGCAAACACACUCUUGCUUACUUCUUCAGAGACCAACCCAUCAUCUUCGAUGGAACCCCAAGCCCUCGCUACAGCCCCGAUGCUAACAAGUGCUAACGUUCUAGGCAAUUCUUGGAAAUGCAACUCAUGCUUAGAUGCAAAUGGUCUUGAGAUGAAACUAAGCGAUGCACCAGUGUCAAAAAGAACUUUUGCAGGAAAAUCAUUAACUGAGAGAUUACCCAUUAUCACAUCAGUAGAUUCCUCCGCUUGAGCUGCGUUCAUCAUGUUGACCUUUGAAAACUUGGGAUUAUGCUUGACCACUGCAUUGCUGGAAGAUCUCACAGGAGGAGGAGGCGGAAGGCGCCUUUGAUUGAAGCACUUGUUAGCAUAGUGACCUUUCUGCUGACACUUGUUGCAAGUCACCUCUGAGAGUGGACGAUGAUAAGGAACAUUCGACUUUGGAGCUUGAUUCUGAGACUUGUUCUGAUAGCCAGGGUUGGGUGGGUGGGAAGAUCCAUGGCCACCUUUGUUCUUUUGCUGGAAAGGCUGACGAAACGGAGGAGGAGGAGGCAACCAGAACUUCUGUUGCUUAGCAGCCACUAGUGAGGAAGAAGAAGACUAAACUGCGUCCCUGACUCUCUUCUUAGAAGCCUCACACUUGAGCUGAGCAGCCUCUUGCUUCAGAGCCAUAUUGUAGAAAUCAUCAUACUUAGUCGGCUCAAAAAGCACGAGAGGUAAUUGCAGAUCUUCUCUGAGGCCACCUCUGAAUUGAUAGAUCAUGCUCUUUUCAUCAGGAACGUCUUGCUUAGCGAAGCGAGCGAGUUUCUGAAACUGAGUAUUGUAUUGAUACACGGACAUGCUGCCUUGCUUGAGAUUGCGGAACUCCUCACGCUUGCUCUCAACAACACUUUGUGGAAUGUGGUGAGCUUUGAAGUCUCGACGGAAAUCAUCCCAGGUAAUCACACGACCUCCUCUGGAAUCUUUGUAUUGUUGAUACCACUCGGCAGCUUGAUCCUUGAGUUGAAAAGAAACGAACUUGACAAAGUCCUCAGGCCUGACAUUGCUACAUUCAAAAUGCUUGUUGAUGUCCACGAGCCAAUCAUCGGCGUCUGUGGCCUUGGCACAGCAGCUGAAAGGCUUCGGCUGAUUUGCGAGGAACUGGUUGAGGGUAGCGAAGUGAGGCUGAUUGUUGCCUUGGCCUUGAUUUCCUUGAUUGUCUUGCCCUUGGGUGCGCUCUUGCAAGAGUUGCAAAAUCAUCUGAGCAUUGGCGUUGGUGGCUGCCAUGAUAGCUUGCCAUGCCUCCGGAGGCGGAGGUGGUGGCGGAGGGUUCGCCUGACUCCCUUCAUUGCGUUCCGGAUUCUGACGCGUUGGCGGAGCCAUCCUGAAGAGGGUGACAUCCGUUAGCAUCUUGAUAGACAAAUAGACAAGUUGAAUCAACGGAUAGAAAUUGCAACAUAUAGUCUUCACAAUAAACAUUCGAACGACGAUAAACGAAUGAAUUUCAUAGUAAAUCAUCACACUUCCAUAAGGUGAGAAGCCACUUGAUAAGAGAUUGGUGAAUAAAAUAACAAGGUGCAACUGGAACAAAUAAGUGGUAAGGAUUACCCAAUCACAAACCAAAUAUCUGCGGGAAGAAAUGCUAAGAGCUACUUGAAUCCCACCUAUAAACUCCCGAAACUUUCUGGUUAUGCAAUCUGGUGUUGGGGAUACAGGGGACACAAAAUAUAUCACCCAAACUAGCAAUCCCUAGAUCCAGCUGUAUCCAUCCGUCAACACAUAACCAAGAAACCUUCGGAAAUCGUGUACCUCAACCUUCGAAAAGCAUCCGUUAUACGAGUUAUGGCAAUACUCCCGAACUCCCGCCCCAGUACUGGGUGGCGUCGAGGUGAUCUCACCAACAACUGCAUAAAAGAGAUUUUCGAUGUCGGUGAAACUCAGGUAUUCCAGAACUGCAACGAUAAAAUUGUGACGACAACACCUCGGAGCUCAACUCCCCGGGACACUGCCACAACCCCUAAAUGUCAGGCGGCACCAAGAACAAUGUUCUCGUCACAAAACCAUCGGAAUGAUUUCAAGAUACCCGCGUGAUCCUAAAAAAAAUUUAGUGAAAUUUGAGGAGAGAAGAGUCAAAACUUCUACGUCAGGAGGCCUCACCAGAGCGACGAAGGGACUGAGGAGUAAAAAAGAAUCCUACUCUCCGAUAUAUAUAAUCCUAAGACUCAAAACAUUUUUGUUCUAGACUCAACAACGCAAGCGAUUCGAUCAAGCAGGGGGCUCCUAAGUCGGGGAUGGCUCUGAUUACCAACUUGUAACGCCCACGAUGCGGCUAUAACUCCCACGUGUCGAGGCACGACUUAGAGGCAUAACCGCAUUGUAGGUAUUGUCGCAAGAAGGGUCAUCUUCACACAAUCCCAUGUAAUGAACAAGAAUGGGAUAACGAGAGUUGGCUUACAAUCGCCACUUCACACAAUACAUAAAUUAAUUCAUACAUCAUCCAAAAUCCACACAUAGACCGACUACGGUCAAAUCCAAAUGAAAAUAAGAUAACCCCAAAUGCUAGAUCCCCGAUCGUCCCAACUGGGCUCCACUACUGAUCAUCAGGAAAAGAAACAUAGUAACGACCACGUUCCUCGUCGAACUCCCACUUGAGCUCGGUUGCGUCCUCUGCACUGGUAUCGUCGGCACCUGCAACUGUUUUGGUAGAAUCUGUGAGUCACGAGGACUCAGCAAUCUCACACCCGCGAGAUCAAGACUAUUUAAGCUUGUAGGGAGGCAAGGAGUAAUAUGGUGGAGCUGCGGCAAGCACUAAGCAUAUAUGGUGGCUAACAUACGCAAAUGAGAGCGAGAAGAGAAGCAAAGCAUCGGUCGUCAACUAGUAAUGAUCAAGAAGUGAUCCUGAACUCCUACUUACGUUCAUUCAUAACCCAAGCCGUGUUGACUUCCCGGACUCCGCCGAAAAGAGACUAUCACGGCUACACACACAGCUGAUGUAUUUUAAUUAAGUCAAGUGUCAAGUUCUCUACAACCGGACAUUAACAAAUUCCCAUCUGCCUCAUAACCGCGGACACGGCUUUCGAAAGAUAAUACCCUGCAGGGGUGUCCCAACUUAGCCCAUUAUAAGCUCUCACGGUCAACGAAGGAUAAACCUUCUCCCGGGAAGACCCGAUCAGUCUCGGAAUCCCGGUUUACAAGACAUUUCGACAAUGGUAAAACAAGACCAGCAAAGCCGCCCGAAUGUGCCGACAAAUCCCGAUAGGAGCUGCACAUAUCUCGUUCUCAGGGCACACCGGAUUGUCCAAGCUUCCGAUAGGCGAGCCCAGAGUUGCCCCUGGUGGCCACCGACGACUGACAGGUUGGACCAAUACUCAGAGGAGCACUGGCCCGGGGGUUUAAAUAAAGAUGACCCUCGGGCUCGCGAAAACCCGAGGGAAAAAGGCUUAGGUGGCAAAUGGUAAAACCAAAGUUGGGCCUUGCUGGAGGAGUUUUAUUCAAGGCGAACUGUCAAGGGGGUCCCAUAAAUCACCCAACCGCGUAAGGAACGCAAACUCAAGGAACAUAAUACCGGUAUGACGGAAACUAGGGCAGCAGGAGUGGAACAAAACACCAGGCAUAAGGCCGAGCCUUCCACCCUUUACCAAAUAUAUAGAUGCAUUAAUUAAAUAAGAGAUAUUGUGAUAUUCCAAAAAUAUCCAUGUUCCAACAUGGAACCAACUUCAACUUCACCUGCAACUAGCAACGCUAUAAGAAGGGCUGAGCAAAAGCGGUAACUUAGCCAAACAACGGUUUGCUAGGAAAGGAUGGUUAGAGGCUUGACAUGGCAACAUGGGAGGCAUGAUGUAGCAAGUGGUAGGUAGCGCGGCAUGGCAAUAGAACGAACAACUAGGAAAGCAAAGAUAGAAGUGAUUUCGAGGGUAUGGUCAUCUUGCCUGCAAGGUUCUCAGAGUUGUCGAAAGUUUGAUCCUCGUAAGCGUACUCAACAGGUUCCUCGUUCACGAACUCGUCUCCCGGUUAUACCCACAGCAAGAACACAAGCAAUGGAACCACAAUCAAUCAUGGGAAAUGCACAAGCAACAUGAUGCAAUACAUGCAUGAUAUGCGAGAUGUGAUAUGCGAUGCAUAUGCGUGCUCCGAAAGAAAAAAGGAUGAACAAGGCAGCAACUUGGCAAACCAAGUAUGCCACUGGAAAGAUGAGAUGAUUUCGGUCGAAAUCAAUAUAAAGAUCACCGGAAACGGAUGCACGGUUUGCAAAUGGCAAGCAAAACAAGAAUGAAACGAACCUGCGAUUAACAGCAUGAUAGCACUUAGAAUGCAUCAAAUAACUAUGCUACAGCACCCCAACAUAGCAACAAAGCAUAUGUCAGUAAUCUACAGGAGAUGCUUGACAAAAGAUGAACACUGAGCUACGGCUAGAUCACACAAUCACAGGUUCAAACAAGCAUGGAAAAAGUGCAAAAGAUAUCAGUUUAACAGACUUGAGAAAAUAUUGGACAUGGCUGAAACAGCAUCAGGUAGCAAUGUUCAGAGCAAGCAAAACACAUGCUACAGGAACUUAUCAUAGCAAAACAAGGCAUGGCAUGAAUCUACUAAAUGCAUAGAACAAAUGAACCUUACUGACCAUGAGCCAAAAAGGUACAAAAGAUAUGAUGGCACCCAUGUAAACAUAGUUUCGUUAACAGGUUUCGGACUUGGCAGAAAACAGAACAUGGCAUUCACAGCAUUAUGAAGGCAUCUUUGUUAGCUCUAUGCACUCAUCAAAAAGCAAUGCAUGACAAACCAAGCAUACCUACAGCAAGAUGGCAUGUUUAUGAAGCUAACCAUGGCAAGAUCAAAGUCAUAGAAUGUAUGUAUCAACUACAACAACCUUGGCAAAAUUGAAUAUCAUGUUAACAAUCUGCCAGAAACAUUUUAUAGCAAAAGUAGAGCAAGAUUACGACAUGCUAUGGCACUCCAUAAUUGCAAACAGAGGCAUGGAUGGAUAGAGCAUAACCAUAUGUUUAAAACAUCCUUACUGAAGUAUCUCAAAAUAAGCAUGAAUCUCACUGUAGCAUCAAGUUUACAUGGCAUAAAAAAUAUCAGCAGGUAAAGACUUAGCAAAAUUCUAAGUCUCUGAAAACAGAAACAUCACGAAGUCUAGUUUGCAUGCUUGUGCUAGUCACCACAUAGAUCACAAAAAUACAUGGAAUACACCUAUGUACAGAUAGCAUGGCAUAGAUCAAAACACAUGUAGAGCUCCUACUCAUAAUAUGCACACAUUAAAUGCAACAAAAAUAACAAAACACCAAGUUCUGUUAAGUAACAGCAGUAAACAUCACAUAGCACUCUUGCAUCAGAGAUUUGGGCAUCAAGAUGAGCUCAAAUGAGCAUGGCCCAAUGGAACAAAAUGAAGAGCAUCUCGUGAUGAACAUUUCGAUAUAUUACACGCACGAAAUGGAGUAGUAUGCAAGGAGUUAUGGUGCGUCAAAGUAUGCAACAUAAUGCAAUAAUUUCAGGACUUAGAGAAAUCGAGGGGAGGAAGAAGUCAACCGUUCGGUCCCGAUCUGGAUCGGGCCGGCUCGAGGCUCGCCGGAGAUCGGGGCUGCCGCCGGAGACGGAGGGGAAGAGGGAGACGGCGGCCGCGGUGGAGGAGCUCGGAGGAGGGAGGCAGCGACCGGACGGGCGGCGCCGGAGUCGGGGCCGGGCGGCGGCGCACAGGGCNNNNNNNNNNNNNNNNNNNNNNNNNNNNNNNNNNNNNNNNNNNNNNNNNNNNNNNNNNNNNNNNNNNNNNNNNNNNNNNNNNNNNNNNNNNNNNNNNNNNNNNNNNNNNNNNNNNNNNNNNNNNNNNNNNNNNNNNNNNNNNNNNNNNNNNNNNNNNNNNNNNNNNNNNNNNNNNNNNNNNNNNNNNNNNNNNNNNNNNNNNNNNNNNNNNNNNNNNNNNNNNNNNNNNNNNNNNNNNNNNNNNNNNNNNNACGGCGGGCCGGCGUGCGGGCGCGCAGGCGAAGUGGGCGCAGCGGCUCGGCGAAUCAGGAGCCGCCACGUGGCGCGGUGAGGGCGGCGGACAUGUCCGGCCGGCUGAGGAAGAAACGUCCGGCGGCGCGGAGGGGAAUUGAUCUAGGGUUAGGGGUGGUUUUGAACCGGAAUUUUCGGGGGAGGGGUGUUUAUAUAGGUAGAGGGAGCUAGAAGACUCCAAAUGGAGUGCGGUUUUCGCCGACACGAUCGUGAUCGAACGGCGGAGAGCAUGGAGGGGGGUUUGCUGGAUUAGUGGGCUGUUUUGGAGGGGUGUUGGGCUGCAACACACAAUAGGCCUUUGCGGUUACCCGGUUAACCGUUGGAGUAUCAAACGACCUCCAAAUGGAACGAAACUUGACAGGUGGUCUACCGGUGGUAUACCAAGGCCACUUGACAAACCUCGGUCCACUCCGAGAACGUUUAACACCCGCUCACGAAAAGAGACAAGAGGGGUGCGCCGGUGCAUGUGGGAGUGUCGGAUUGCAAAACGGGCAACGGGGAAAAUGCUCGGAUGCAUGAGACGAACACGUAUGCAAAUGAGAUGCGCAUGAUGACAUGAUAUGAGAUGCAUGACAUGAACAAAAUGCAAAACGAAAGACAAAACCCAACCACGGAGGGAAUAUCAUAACACAUAGCCGAAAAUGGUAAGAGUUGGAGUUAACAAAUAUGGAAAGUUACAUCUGGGGUGUUACAGGUACGUACACCAGGGUGCGCUUGGACCGGAGCGUGGCUAAUCCUGCAUGGGCUUUGGCCUUCCCAGAUGCAUCCCUUGAGCAUCUCACCGCAGCUACUUCUGAUCACGUCCCGUUGUUGCUUCGGCUUCAAGCAAUGCAUGCAUGCAGAAGGGGACCACGGCCGUUUAAAUACGAGUUGUGUUGGGAGCGCGACCCAACACUGGAGACAGUGGUGCAUGCGGGGUGGAAUCAGCAUCCUGGGGAUUCGGUGGACCAGGUGAAGGCUAAACUCCAAAUACUGUCGGGCGACCUGUCGACGUGGGAUCGGCAACAUUUUGGAAGCGUGCGCAGAGAGAUAGCCGAAUUAAAAAAGGAACUACAGGUGUUGCGAGAAUUCCCAGGAAGAUCUGGUCCCUCUCGACAGGAGACAAAAAUCUGCGAUCGCCUGAUCGAGUUGUUUCAUCGCAAGGAGAUCUUGUGGAGGCAGCGAGCUAGGAUUGAUUGGCUCAUGCAUGGCGACAAAAAUACUUAUUUCUUCCACAUGAGAGCGAGUAGGCGUCGGCGGAAAAACCAAAUUAAAUCCUUGCAGCGAGCUGAUGGGCAGGUAACGGAGAAUGAACUGGAGAUGGAAAACAUGCCGACCUCCUUUUACAAGGACUUGUACAUGACGGAAGGGGUUGGUGAUAUGGCACAGGUGCUAGAAACGGUGCCAUGCAAGGUUACGCAUGCAAUGAACGCCUCGUUGAAUGCCCCAUAUAGCCCGGAAGAAGUUAAGACUGCCCUUUUUCAAAUGUUUCCCACCAAGGCAUCGGGACCAGAUGGCUUUCCUGCUCACUUCUUUCAGAGGCACUGGGAGACAUGCGGAGACAAAAUCACCAAAGUCGUUCUUAAAAUUGUUGAGGGCACAGAAUCUGCAGCAUGUAUCAAUGAGACAGUCUUGGUGCUAAUCCCUAAGGUAAAAAACCCAACCCUCUUGAGCCAGUUCCGCCCCAUCAGCUUAUGUAAUGUUCUUUACAAAAUAGCGUCCAAAGUGAUCUCUAACAGGCUGAAGGUGAUACUACCUGACAUUAUAUCUGAGGAACAAUCUGCCUUUGUCCCUAGUAGACUUAUAACUGACAACAUCAUCACUGCCUACGAGUGCCUACACUUUAUGAAAAGAAAUAAAGUUAAAAAGCACCAGUCGUUUGCUCUGAAGCUAGACAUGAUGAAGGCUUAUGACAGGGUGGAGUGGCCAUACCUGAAAGCAAUCAUGGUGAAACUAGGGUUCACUGAGAGGUGGGUGGACAUAGUUAUGGGACUGGUUACCACUGUUAAGUUUUCUGUCAUGUUUAAUGGGAAAAGAUUGGAGGAAUUCGAACCUUCGCGAGGAAUCAGACAAGGGGACCCAAUAUCUCCGUACUUGUUCUUGCUAGCAGCAGAGGGCCUGUCGUGCCUGUUAAAAUCAAAGAGUGAGUCAUCCAAUCUGGGUGGUGUGCAAGUGGCUCCUACGGCGCCGCCAGUUAGCCAUCUAUUAUUCGCUGAUGACAGCCUGCUGUUCUGUAAGGCAAAUUGUGCGGGAGCUAAUGAGGUGAACCUAGUAUUGAAUACAUACUGCCAAGCAUCCGGUCAGCGAGUGAACUUUGCAAAAUCAUCAAUCUUCUUUAGCAAGGGAGUGCCGGAAGCUACGAGGACAUAAAUAAAAGGUUUACUCAAUAUUCCCAAUGAAACUUUAAAUGAGAAGUAUCUAGGGAUGCCGUCAAAUAUUGGGAGUUCGAAGAAUGGGGCCUUCAAAUACCUCAAGGAUCGUUUAUGGAGUAAGGUACAGGGCUGGGUGGAAAACACCAUGUCAUCCGCAGGCAAGGAGGUUUUGGUGAAAUCAGUUGCCUAGUCCAUACCUGUAUUCUCAAUGUCAUGCUUUAAACUUCCAAGGGGAUUAUGUGAACACCUUAAUAUGCUUAUUAGGAAGUUCUGGUGGGGGGGCAAAGAUGGCAAAAGGAAACCUCACUGGGUAUCUUGGAAAAGUAUGACACAGCCGAAGGGAAUGGGAGGACUAGGGUUCAAAGAUUUUGAACUCUUUAAUAUGGCGAUGCUGGCAAGACAGGCUUGGAGAUUACUCCAAACACCAGAGUUCCUCAGUGCACGCUUGUUGAAGAGCAUAUACUUCCCUGAUUCUACCAUCUUGGAGGCGACCUUGGGCAACCAUCCCAGUCAGAUAUGGCGAGCCAUCAUCGAAGGCAGAGAUACACUCAAACAAGGUCUCAUCCGUAGAAUUGGCAAUGGUCAAUCUACUCGUAUUUGGGAGGAUCCGUGGCUGCCAAGAGAUGAGAUGUUACGGCCAUAUGGGAGCAUUCACCCCAAUCCGCCAACCUUGGUUUCGGAACUGAUCGAUCACACUAGCACUUCGUGGAACAGCCAGCUAAUCAACCAAGUGUUUAUGCCCAUGGAUGCUUGUACCAUUAUGGGGAUCCCGGUGUGCACUCGCAAUCUCCAUGACUUCUGGAGCUGGAACUUUGAAACGACUGGCAACUUCACGGUCAAAUCUGCUUACCGCAUGCUUGUAGCGACAAGACAGCGCCGGGAGGCAUGGCUUGAGGGCACUGCUGGAACAUCAAACAGCACGUCGGAGGAAGGGGCUUGGAAAACGUUGUGGAAGACCCAGGUUCCUGCAAAGGUCAGAAUGUUUCUAUGGCGUUUAUCAAAGCACUCUCUCCCAACGGAGGACGUCAGGGCUCAUCGGCAUAUGGCAGAUAACGCUUCUUGCGGUUUAUGUGGCUCAGCUGCUUCGUGGAGACACUCUCUGGUUAACUGCACUAGCUCGAGAUGUGUGUGGGCUUUAGUUGAUGAGGAGCUAGCACAAAACCUAGUCUCAACCAUGGAACCCAACGCCAAGCAGUGGCUCUUCACCUUCAUGCACUCGCUAUCACAUGAUCAGUUUGUAUUGCUUGCGGUCACUCUCUGGGCGAUCUGGACAGCGCGGCGCAAGGCUAUUCAUGAAGGAAUAUUCCAAUCGCCUCAGGCAACUAACAACUUUGUCAGACGCUUCAUAGCUGAACUAAACAUGAUUAAAGUGGAAAGGCCUAUGAGGGGAGGAGCUCAAUCUAUGGGCCUGUCACGAGCUGCACGCCCCAAAGCUCCCCUGAUCGGCUACGCCAAGAUUCAUGUGGACGCGGGAGUAAGAGCAAGGAAAGGUGGAUCAGCAGCUGCUGUAUGUCGGGACAGGCAAGGCAAUUUCCUAGGCAGCUCCGCGUUGGUGAUCGCCGGUCUAGAGGACCCAGCCAUACUAGAGACUAUCGCUUGCAGAGAGGCUUUGGCGCUGGCGGAAGACCUUAAUCUGCAUAAUUUUGUCGUUGCAUCUAGUGGCUGACAUCUUAAGUGGAGGCACAGGCAAGAGUGGUACUAUUAUCCAGGAGAUAAACACUAGAGCAACUCUUUUUCAUUGUAAUUUUUCUUUUGAAGGCCGUGUUGUUAAUGUCGAAGCACAUAGACUAGCCAAAUAUUCGCUUAGUCUCGGUCCGGGGCGCCACCUCUGGUUAGGUCAGCCCCAUGAUCCGAGUUGUAUCCCACCCAUUGUGGUCUUUGAUGAAUAAAAUUUGGUUGUCCCCUAAAAAAAGCUAAAUAAAUCCGCUAAACAGAAGUUAAGAUAAAUAAAGCCCGUAUCUCUCUAAAAAAAGCUAAAUAAAUCCCGUUUCUAACAAAAAAAAAA
rnacentral:lncRNA from 1 species